AAACAGAAGGUGAAUCAAGUGCAGAGCUAGAUGGAAAUUCCUUACCUCCCCUCGUAGUUGAGGGAAAAAUCUUGGUUCUUUUAUCUUUCAAGUUCUUCAUAGUGAUCAGCAUAUAUAAAUCCCAAGUGACUCAAAGAAUAGAGCUAUGCUCCCUGGCAAUGGUGCCAGAAAAUAGUAUUGAUAACCCACAAGUAUAGGGGAUCGCAACAGUUUUCGAGGGUAGAGUAUUCAACCCAAAUUUAUUGAUUCGACACAAGGGGAGCCAAAUAAUAUUCUCAAGUAUUAGCAGCUGAGUUGUCAAUUCAACCACACCUGGAAAACUUAAUAUCUACAGCAAAGUAUUUAGUAGCAAAGUAAUAUGAUAGUAGCGGUAACGGUAGCAAAAGUAAUAGUUUUGGUUUUAUAGUGAUUGUAACAGUAGUAACGGAAAAGUAAAUAGGCAAAGAUCAAGAUGUGAAAAGCUCGUAGGCAAUGGAUCGGUGAUGGAUAAUUAUGUCGGAUGUGAUUCCUCAUGCAAUAGUUAUAAGAUAGGGUAACACAGAACUAGCUCCAGUUUAUCAAUGUAAUGUAGGCAUGUAUUCCGAAUAUAGUCAUACAUGCUUAUGGAAAAGAAAUUGCAUGACAUAUUUUGUCCUACCCUCCCGUGGCAGCGAGGUCCUAUUGGAAACUAAGGGAUAUUAAGGCCUCCUUUUAAUAGAGUACGAAACCAAAGCAUUAACACUUAGUGAAUGCAUGAACUCCUCAAACUACGGUCAUCCCCGGUAAGUAUCCCGAUUAUUGUCACUUCGGGGUCAACAGAUCAUUACACAUAAUAGGUGACUAUAGACUUGCAAGAUAGGAUCAAGAACUCACCACUACUAGGUAAAAGGCUAGCAGCAGCGCGGGUUCUAGGUAUAUCAGUAGCGCGGGGACCUGCGCUACUAAUAAGGCGCUACAGCUAACCCGUAGCAGUAGUGCGUGCACACCCGCGCUACUGCUAUACAAGUGUAGCAGCCGCGCGCUUCGUGGAAGCUCGCUACUGCUAAUAGCUCUAGCGCUCUUUGCCUGGACGCGCUACUACUACUGUGGCGCUGCUGCUAACUUUUCUCCACUCGCUACUGCUAAUUUUAGUAGUUUUUGUUUUUUCCGCAUAUUUGUUUUGUAUUUGAAUAGGCUUUAUACAAGAAUAUUCAGCAGAUACAAAUGUCAUCAUGAUACACAUACAAAUGGCUGCAAGACCACAAAGGUAAUCAUAGCAUAUACAUCCAAAUAGUCUCAUGAUAAUCAUCAUCCAACACAAAGUGGUAUCUCAUCAUCAUCUCAAAAAUAGCGAUACAUGCAAGUCGCAAAUACUUGCAACUACAACAUCAUCCAUCUAAACAAUGGUAUACGCGAGAAGAGCUAUCACUAUGAGUGAGAGCAGAACUAUGCAGUACAUGAGGCGGCGGUUACGAGUCAUGUCUCGUGCUAGCGUGAACCUCAAGUAACUAGCUUCGGCUUCUUGUCUGGUUUUGAAGCCUUUAUGGCUGGUGCCCGAGACCCCAUUCACUUGCUCCUGGCACUCAGGCCACUCGUUGUACUCCCCCGGAACCUUCCCUUUGUACACGACAUAGCACCGCCAUCUCGCCAUCAAGAAACUAGGUACAUGUUAGAGAUGCAUCUUGAUCAAGAGGAUGUACAAUCAUAUGCAACAAAAUAUAUUAGAGUGAUGUCUACUACACAACCUUCUUCUUGUAGACAUUGUUGGUCCUCCAAGUGCAGAGGUUUGUAGGACAGUAGCAAAUUUCCCUCAAGUGGAUGACCUAAGGUUUAUCAAACUGUAGGAGGCAUAGGAUGAAGAUGGUCUCUCUCAAGCAACCCUGCAACCAAAUAACAAAGAGUCUCUUGUGUCCCCAACACACCCAAUACAAUGGUAAAUUGUAUAGGUGCACUAGUUCGGUGAAGAGAUGGUGAUACAAGUGGUAUAUGGAUGGUAGAUAAAGGUUUUUGUAAUCUGAAAAUAUAAAAACAGCAAGGUAACUAAUGAUAAAAGUGAGCACAAACAGUAUUGCAAUGCAUUGAAACAAGGCCUAGGGUUCAUACUUUCACUAGUGCAAGUUCUCUCAACAAUAAUAACAUAAUUGGAUCACAUAACUAUCCCUCAACAUGCAACAAAGAGUCACUCCAAAGUCACUAAUAGCGGAGAACAAACGAAGAGAUUAUGGUAGGGUAUGAAACCACCUCAAAGUUAUCCUUUCUGAUCGAUCUAUUCAAGAGUCCGUAGUAAAAUAACAUGAAGCUAUUCUUUCCGUUCAAUCUAUCCUAGAGUCGUACUAGAAUAACACCUUAAGAUACAAAUCAACCAAAACCCUAAUGUCACCUCAAGUAUCCGUGGGUAUGAUUAUACGAUAUGCAUCACACAAUCUCAGAUUCAUCUAUUCAACCAACACAUAGAACCUCAAAAGUGCCCCAAAGUUUCUACCAGAGAGUCAAGACGAAAACGUGUGCCAACCCCUAUGCAUAGAUGCCCAAGGUCACGGAUCCUGCAAGUUGAUCACCAAAACAUACAUCAAGUGGAUCAUAGAAUACCCCAUUGUCACCACAGGUAUCCCACACAAGACAUAGAUCAAGUGUUCUCAAAUCCUUAAAGACUCAAUCCGAUAAGAUAACUUCAAAGGGAAAACUCAAUCCAUUACAAGAGAGUAGAGGGGGAGAAACAUCAUAAGAUCCAACUAUAAUAGCAAAUCUCGCGAUACAUCAAGAUCGUAUCACCUCAAGAACACGAGAGAGUGAGAGAUAUCAAACACAUAGCUACUGGUACAUACCCUCAGCCCCGAGGUAGAACUACUCCCUCCUCCUGAUGGAGAGCACCGGGAUGAUGAAGAUGGCCACCGAAGAGGGAUUCCCCCUCCGACAGGGUGCCGGAACGGGUCUAGAUUAGUUUUCGGUGGCUACGGAGGCUUCUGGCAGCGGAACUCCCGAUCUAUUCUACUCCCCGAAGCUUUUAGGGUAUAUGGGUAUAUAUGGGAGGAAGAAGUACAUCGCUGGACCUCCGGGCUGUCCACGAGGAAGGGGGGCGCGCCCCCCACCCUCGUGGGCAGCCCGAGACUCUCCUGGUCCAACUCCGAUACCCCGUGGGCUUCUUCUGGUCCAAAAAUAAGUUUCAUGAAGUUUCAGGUCAAUUGGACUCCGUUUGAUUUUCCUUUUCUGCGAUACUUUAAAACAAGGGAAAAAACAGAAACUGGCACUGGGCUCUAGGUUAAUAGGUUAGUCCCAAAAAUCAUAUAAAAUAGCAUAUAAAUGCAUAUAAAACAUCCAAGGUUGAUAAUAUAAUAGCAUGGAACAAUCAAAAAUUAUAGAUACGUUGGAGACGUAUCAGCAUCCCCAAGCUUAAUUCUUGCUCGCCCUUGAGUAGGUAAAUGAUAAAAACAGAAUUUUUGAUGUGGAAUGCUACCUAAUAUAUUUCUCUAAGUAAUUCUUCUUUAUUGUGGCAAGAAUAUUCAUAUCCAUAAGAUUCAAGACAAAAGUUUAAUAUUGACAUACAAAUAAUAAUACUUCAAGCAUACUAACUAAGCAAUUAUGUCUCUUCAAAAUAACAUGGCCAAAGAGAGUUAUCCCUACAAAAUCAUAUAGUCUGGCUAUGCUCCAUCUUCACCACACAACGUAUUCAAAUCAUGCACAACCCCGAUGACAAGCCAAGCAAUUGUUUCAUACUUUUAAUGUUCUCAAACUUCUUCAAUCUUCACGCAAUACAUGAGCGUGAGCCAUGGACGUAGCACUAUAGGUGGAAUAGAAUGGUGGUUGUGGAGAAGACAAAAAAGUGGGAAAAUAGUCUCACAUCAACUAGGCGUAUCAACGGGCUAUGGAGAUGCCCAUCAAUAGAUAUCAAUGUGAGUGAGUAGGGAUUGCCAUGCAACGGAUGCACUAGAGCUAUAAGUAUAUGAAAGCUCAACAAAAAGAAACUAAGUGGGUGUGCAUCCAACUUGCUUGCUCACGAAGACCUAGGGCAUUUUGAGGAAGCCCAUCGUUGGAAUAUACAAGCCAAGUUCUAUAAUGAAAAAUUCCCACUAGUAUAUGAAAGUAAUAACAUAGGAGACUCUCUAUUAUGAAGAUCAUGGUGCUACCUUGAAGCACAAGUGUGGAAAAGGGAUAGUAGUAUUGCCCCUUUUUUUGGGGCCUUCUUUUUUUUCUUUGGCCUUUCUCCUUUUGGGGGGACAAUACUCUAUGAAUGAUGAUCAUCACACUUCUAUUUGUUUACAACUCAAUGAUUACAACUCGAUACUGGAACAAAGUAUGACUCUAUAUGAAUGCCUCCGGCGGUGUACCAGGAUAGCAAUGAUGCAUGAGUGACCUAUAUGAAAGAAUUAUGAACGGUGGCUUUGCCACAACUAAAAUGUCAACUACAUGAUCAUGCAAAGCAAUAUGACAAUGAUGGAGCGUGUCAUGAUAAACAGAAUGGUGGAAAGUUGCAUGGCAAUAUAUCUCGGAAUGGCUAUGGAAAUGCCAUGAUAGGUAGGUAUGGUGGCUGUUUUGAGGAAGGUAUAUGGUGGGCGUAUGAUACCGGCGAAAGGUGCGCGGUAUUAGAGAGGCUAGCAAUGGUGGAAGGGUGAGAGUGCGUAUAAUCCAUGGACUCAACAUUAGUCAUAAAGAACUCACAUACUUAUUGCAAAAAUCUAUUAAUUAUCGAAGCAAAGUACUACGCGCAUGCUCCUAGGGGGAUAGAUUGGUAGGAAAAGACCAUCGCUCGUCCCCGACCGCCACUCAUAAGGAGGACAAUCAAUAAAUACAUCAUGCUCCGACUUCUUAACAUAACAGUUCACCAUAUGUGCAUGCUACGAGAAUCACAAACUUCAACACAAGCAUUUCUCAAAUUCACAACUACUCAACUAGCACGACUCUAAUAUCACCAUCUACAUAUCUCAAAACAAUUAUCAAGUAUCAAACUUCUCAUAGUAUUCAAUGCACUUUAUAUGAAAGUUUUUAUUAUAUCCCUCUUGGAUGCCCAUCAUAUUAGGACUAAAUUCAUAACCAAAGCAAAUUACCAUGCUGUUUAGAACUCUCAAAAUAAUUUAAGUGAAGCAUGAGAGUUCAUCUAUUUCUAUAAAAUAAAACCACCACCGUGCUCUAAAAGAUAUAAGUGAAGCACUAGAGCAAACGACAAACUACUCCGAAAGAUAUAAGUGAAGAUCAAUGAGUAGUUUAAUAAUUAUGCAACUGACUCUCUAACAUUUAAGAAUUUCAGAUCUUGGUAUUUUAUUAAAACAGCAAGCAAAACAAAGUUAAAUGGAAUGACGGUCCAAGCAAAACACAUAUCAUGUGGUAAAUAAAAAUAUAUCUCCAAGUAAAGUUACCUAUGAACGAAGACGAAAGAGGGGAUGCCAUCCGGGGCAUCCCCAAGCUUAGGCUCUUGGUUGUACUUGAAUAUUACCUUGGCGUGCCUUGCUCAUCCCCAAGAUUAGGCUCUUGCCACUCCUUAUUCCAUAGUACAUCAAAACUUAACCCAAAACAUGAAAACCUGACAACACAUAACUCAAAAUAGAAAAUCUUGUGAGCUCCGUUAGCGAAAGAAAACAAAACACCACUUCAAUAUUUUAAAUCAAUAUUUUAUUUGAAUUUGGAGUUAUAUUCAUAAUAUAUAAUGAAUAUAUUUUGCAAAUGACCUGAGAUAUUUUUAUUAUGUGUGGAGAAGUCCAUUAGGUGACUUAAAAAAUAUCCAGGGAAGUUUAGGCACUGUUUUCAAAUUCUGUUUGAAUUAAAAUUCAGUGCCAAUUAAAUAAAACAGAACAAAAAUAGAAAACAGUAAAAAGAGAGAGAGAGAGAGAGAGAGAGAGAGAGAGAGAAGCCCAGCUUACCUGGCCUCACCCGUGCAGUCCACCAGAACUGGCCCAGCUGGCCAGCCCAUCUGGCCGGCCCAGCCCACCUCCUCCCCCUUGUCUUCUUCCUCCUCUGCCAGGAGGACGAACAGAGGCGUGGCGCACGCCCGAGAGGCCUCGGCCACCUCCUGCUUCCCCCCUGGCCACCUCCUGCCUGGUUGCCUCCCUCCUCGACGCCCGGAGACGCCACGCCACCCCCUCGGACCCCUCUCACUCUUCCUCGAGGCCCCGCUCCUCUGCUCUUUCUCUCUCGCCCGAACCCGAACGCAGCCGUCGCCGCCGACGAGAACCACCGCGGCCACCGCCUUUCCCUCGCCUCUCCGACGCGCCCCCGAGCUCCGCCGUGACGUUCCCGUCCCUACCACGGAGCCACAAGACGCCGGACGCCCUGGAGCGCCGUCACCGACGCCAUCUUCUUCCUCUGCACCGACGGCCGUCGUCGCUUGAUUCGCCGGCCACAGAGCGUCCCCGGCCUCGCCCUCGCGCUCGUUGGACUCGCGGUGAGCCACUGAACCGUUCCCCUCUUCUUCCCAUGCCGUUGGGCCGCUCUAGCCAUUGCUUCCGCCGGACCCGAGAGCUCGCCGCCGCCGUGCCUCGUCACCACCGUGGCUGGAGCCGUUGCAGCUCGAAGCCGAGCACACCACCGCACUCAACACGUCUCCAGGAGCCCGUAGCCGCCACUAGCUUCCCCUCCCGUGCCCCCGAACGCCAACCCCGACCUCGCCCGAGCUCCGGCCGCCGCCUCGCUCGCCACCGUUGCUGAUUCCGGCCACCCCCGCACCUUCCGUUGGUCCCCCUAGAUGCGCACGGGCGUGGGCUACCUCCUGGUGCCCUUGGCGCAUCGAUCCGAUGCCCCUAGCGCAAGUCCGGCAUGCCCCGCCGUGUCCUGUGGUCGCCGCCGGCUGGUCUCCGGUGACGCCGACGUGGCGCACUUACUUAGUCGCUAAUGACCAUGCUAAACACCCCCACAGACACUGACAGCGGGCCCCGUAGCGGGUCAAAGCCUGAGUCAACGCGGGAUUAGCCCCUGUGCCACUGACGUGUGGACCCCACAUGUCAGGUUUGACCCUGACCGGCCCGGUUGACCCUGCUGACGUCACUGUGACGUGGUGCUGACGCCAUAAUCAUUUCUGGAUUUAAUUUAACUCUGAAAUUCCAGAAAAUGCCUAAAACUUCAAUAAAUCAUAGAAAAUUAACCGUAACUCCAAAUUAAAUAAAUUAUAUAUGAAAAAUUAUCAGAAAAAUUCAAGGAAUCCAUCUGUACCAUUUUCAUGCAUGUUAGAACAACUUAUCACUACUGUUUAGGGCAAAUGAAGUGAAUGACAUUUAAAUAACCACAUACGGAGUUUGAAUUUGAAUCUUGUAUUCAAACCAACUUCAUUUAAUCUGGUUUUAGGUGCAUUAGCCCAAAACACAUUCAUAUUGCCAUGUCAUAGCAUGCAUCAUAUUGUGCAUUGCAUUGAUCGUGUCUUUUCUGUAUUUGCCGGUAUUUGUCCCCUCUCGAUAGACGUGUACCGAUGAUGUGAUCGUUGACACUGAUGAAGACUCAAUGUUAUCUUCAGAAGUGCCAGGCAAGCAAAACCCCCUUGUUCAUUCCGAUACAAUCCCACUCUCUCGCUCCUGCUCUCUUUUACUGCAUUAGGACAACAACGAAUCAUUUGUUACUUGCUGCGGUAGCUGAACCCCUUUAUCCUUUGCAUGACCUGUCAUUCCACAGUAAAUAGAUGAAACCCACUAGCAUGAGUAGGAGUUGUUUGAGCCCUGUUGUGCCUACUCAUUCAUGUUUGUUUGUCAUGCCUGCUACUGCUUAGAGUUGAGUCAGGUCUGAUUCAUCGGGGAUGAAUCAGAGGCGUGUGAACAUGUCCUACUGUGUGUGAGCUAAGUGUGUGAACACGAUUUGGUAAAGGUAGCGGUGAGAGGCCAUGUAGGAGUACAUGGUGGGUUGUCUCAUUGAAGCCGUCCUCAGGAACUGAGUUCUGUGUUUGUGAUCCAUGAUUCAGCUACUACCACGCAUUGGGCCCGAAACCAAUGGACCCUCUCGGCUUCUUAAUCACCCUUGUCCUCUGUCCAGGAGUUGCAAGUAGUUUCUGGUGUUUGUAGUAUGCUGGAGGCCGUGGACAGCGCUGACCGUAGGGGUGGGCUGUGAUGCGGUAGGCACGUGGCCGGGUAAACCGGGCGCCCGUUUGGUGUCACGGAACCCUGUUCACAUCGUUUGGGGCUGUGAGCGAAACUCCGGCCGGAUCUCCUCAUGGAUGGAAGCCGAAUAGGCGAUAAACCUGGACUAGAGACUUGAGUGUUUAGGUAGGUCGUGGUCUACACCCACGUCGGCUUUCGCUUGAAGUCUGCCGAGCACAUGUCGUGUGCAGACGCUAAGUGGUGGAAACAUUUAUGAAGAAGUACACCCCUGCAGGGUUAUCAUCAUCUAUUCGAAUAGCCGUGUCCGCGGAAAAGGACUUCUGGGUUGCUUAUAUCAGUUCAUAGACAAGUGAAAGUGGAUACUCUAAAAUACGCAAGAUAAGCGUGAGUUCUAUGGAUGGCGUUCUCGUAGGGAGACGGGAGCGAUUCCAUAGUGGUGUAUUGAUAUGGGGAAUAUGUGGACUCGUGUGCGCCACCUCAAAAGAGUUACUUGCAGUCGUAGUUCAGGAUAGCCACCGAGUCAAAGCUGGCUUGCUGCAGUUAAACCCCACCAUCCCCUUUGUUGAUAAUGAAGCAUAUGUAGUUAGUUCUGAUGUAAGUCUUGCUGGGUACAUUUGUACUCACGUUUGCCUAUUUAUGUUUUUGCAGAGAGACUUCGGUCUCGCUAGUAGUUCCGCGUGGACUUCGACGUUUAGCUUGUUACCUCAGCUACGAUCUUGUGCCCUCGGCAGGAUCUGGUAGAUAGUCAGGCUUCUCAGCCUUUUUCAUUUAUAGAUGUCUGUACUUAGACAUGAUAGCUUCCGCUUGUGCUUUGACUUGUAUGCUCUGAUUGUUGGGUCAUGAGACCCAUGUUUGUAAUAUCUCGCUCCUCGGAGCCUAUUGAUUAAAUUACUUGAGUCAUAGAGUCAUGUUGUGAUGCCAUGUUGUGUUUGCACAUAUCGAGCAUAUUGUGUGUAUGUUAUUGAAAUGCUUGGUAUGUGUGGGAUCUGACUAUCUAGUCGUUUAUCCUCAGUAGCCUCUCUUACCGGGAAAUGUCUCCUAGUGUUUCCACCGAGCCAUGGUAGCUUGCUACUGCUCCGGAACACUUAGGCUGGCCGGCAUGUGUCCUUCUUCGUUCCUGUGUCUGUCCCUUCGGGGAAAUGUCACGCGAUGAAUACCAGAGUCCUGUUAGCCCGCUACAGCCCGGUUCACCGGAGUCCUGCUAGCCCAGUGCUACAGCCUGGAUUCACUCGCUGAUGACCGACACGUUCGAUGCUGGGUCAUGGAUGCCUGUCCCUGUAAGUUUGUGCCACUUUGGGUUUACGACUAGCCAUGUCAGCCCGGGCUCCUUAUCAUAUGGAUGCUAGCGACACUGUCAUAUACGUGUGCCAAAAGGCGCAAACGGUCCCGGGUAAAGGUAAGGCGACACCCGUGGGAAUACCGUGCGUGAGGCCGCAAAGUGAUAUGAAGUGUUACAUGCUAGAUCUAUGUGGCAUCGAGUCGGGGUCCUGACAGCGUUGGUAUCAAAGCUUGACUGCCUGUAGGAUUACCAAGCCAAACUGGUCGAAGUUGAGUCUAGAAAUUCUUUAGUUAUAUAAGGGAAUUGAUUGUGAGAUGGAACGUAAGGCUCUUUUUACUCCUUAUACCUUAUGCCUUCUGAUCUGAGUCAUCUUAUCUUUCCUGCGGGGAUUAAGAACUAGGCUAUCUCUUCUUUCCAUCAGGAUCACGUGUUACUAAUCUGUAGACUUAUAAGAUUGUUGGACUUAAGCCUUGUUUCAGUUUCUACUACUUCUGUAUGUUAAUUAUUGAUCUCGAGACCUUGAUAUUGUGCUUCUGAGUGGUUAUGCCACCAUUUUUGUGAAUGUCUCAAAUCUUUUCUGAGCAUUUACAGCCGUUAUGCUGUCCGAGUCAUCCCAGGUUUUUAAGUAGUCUGAUGCAAUUGCAAAUCCUUUCUUCCUGUUUCAAUGUUCCCAUGGGCCAGAUUAACCACACUAAUCAGUGAGUUGAGGUACUCCGUUACCUUGACAUAUAUGUUGGAGAUACUAUUAUGGCCCUAGGUGUUUAGGGAGUCACCUAGUAAUCUAGCAAUGUUUUGUGAUCCCCAGUGUGAUGAUUCUGGCUUUUAUUCUCGAAAGCAUCCCGUGAUGCCACUUAGUAGUAGGUAUUCUAUUCCUUGGGCUUUGAACCCGAGAUUCACUCUACUUACUUCAUGUUGAUAGUGUUUGCUAGUUCCUUCAGGAUAUUAGUAACUUUGCGAUAGUCCUCGAGGUCCGUGGUAUUUCCUUCUUCCAAAUACUAUGAACCGCUUAUGGCAGAUGUUUAUUGGAUCAAAAGAUCACAAUUAGAGUACUCUUGAAGAGUUCUCCAUUCAUAAAUCGUGACUCUGCCAGUUCUACCUUUCUGCAUGGGUUAUCCGGAAGAAAUAUGUUGAACUUGGUUCGACAUACUAAUCUAUGCAUCCACAACUCAGAAAAUUAUAUGUUCCUUUGAGUUGUUCUCCGUAGUUGCAUUCUGACCCUCGUCUAUCAAUUGAUAGUCAAGAGUAUGCGUGCGUUCGUUUAUCGAUGCCUAUUACUCUUGUGGUCCGUCAAGCCAUUCUGUCCUGAAUGACUUGGAGAAACAAACUCCAGUACCUCUUCCAUAUCCAGGAUUGGGUCAAAGAAGUUGUGCUCCGCAGAUCUAAUUGCUAAUCCAGCUUUUGGUUCUGUUCUACCUUGGAGUAUUACCUUAUUCUAUAUCGAGAUUGUUAUAGGAAUUGCACACCAUCCUAUGAACUCUUGAUACAGUGAUACUUCUCACCAUCAUUAGUCAUUCCUCGGCCCUCGUGUUGAUGCAACCGGAAUACCGGCAAAUGAGUUGUGAUGUGUGAGAUCAAUACUCCCAGCAACCUCGUUGCUUGGUAGUUAAAGGAUAAUAAUUUCAUUCUUAGUAUGUUGGUUUUUGAAUCAUCCUUCUAAGACUGAUCGUGCUACCUAGUCCUUAUUUCGGUGCACCCUUCGAUUGAUGAAUUAGGAUCUUGUCAAGCCCUCGCUCACUUGAUCAUAUCAUCUUGCCCCGAAAAGCAAGAUUGUUCUCGAGCUUAGUAACAUAUCGGUGGUUCGUGAUUUUCCGAAGAUCUUCUCGGAAGUACUACCAGGUUGUCACCUGACCGCUAUGUUGAGCUCGUGAUCAAGUUGGUUUAUUGUAAACCACCCUUUCUCCAAGAAUCUGUGAUGGAUAUCCCUGAGCUAGUUGGUUAAGCGAGACAACAACUUGGAGAGUUGGAAGGUAAAAGCUUGCCUGACUUAGUUCGUUCCAAAGGGAUAUUCUUGUGUAGUGUGUGUUGAAGAAAGAUGAUAUCUUCAUCGGUUGGUCCCUGUGAUCAGUUGCUGGACCUAUUGCCUUAUCAAUCCUUUGAUUUGAGUGUGGGCUAUCGUCAAAUCAAAUCAAUACCAAUGAUGCUCGUAAUGUUGUCUUGUUCGUGGUUGAUCCCUCGAGCAUACACCAUUACAUCUUUGGCCUGACCAAUGCUAUCACUUGUUCACUUAACUAUGGAAUUCCUUUUAAAAGGAAACCCAGAUGAAUUGUUGUUGAGCCCAUUGACAACAUCCUUAUCUCCUCCAUAAUUUUGUUGGACAUUAAGCUAGUGUUGGAAACUUUUGAAAGCAUUUUCUUCAUGCUAGCUCAUGAAGUAUUUGUUGAUGAAAGGAGUGACUUCCUUUUAUACACAUGCAUUUGGUGAAAGAUGCCGCCGUGAAUUUGAGAAAGUUAGUUUUGCUUCCUCUGGAAUCAUCCCAAGUCAGUCAUGCAUACGUGCGAAGUAUUCUGUGGUCUGGAGAUUUGCAACCUCCAUUCUAUAUGUAUAUCCUAGCACACCAAGCCACUGAUUGAGUUGUUCAAAGAUAAAGGAGUCUGUCCAAGGUGAACUCUUUGGACUUCCAUGCGUGGAGACUUCGAUGUCAUUAAUGAUGGUUCCCCCUCCUGAACUCGGUAGUGUUUUAUUAUAAGACUACCUUGUGAUCAUGCUUGUCUUGGACAACAUGUUCACAUGUUUGUAGCAGAACCAGCUCAUGUUUUGGAGCUUGCUAUCGUAGUUCAUCUCCCGAGAAUCCCGCAACGUCAUCUCGUCGAUUUGUGUUGCAAACUUUCAUUUUCUUCCUAGACUCGAUGAGUCUGGAAUAUCCUGACACCAACCAGAUCUGAAUCUCAGGCAGAUAUGAUGGUUUGGAACAUUUCCCAAGAACUAUAAUAUUGGUCCCUCGAUAACCGGUAAAGUGGAUGUCGUGGCCAGCACCACCCAGCCGAAGGACCUAUUGUUGUGGUAUCUUGAUUGAAGCAGUUGGCCACCUUCCCAUAAGGACUUCGUAGGAUUUACUUCCUAGUUGUGCCUUAUGAUUAUUGUGUUCCCGAUGUCCGACCUUUUACUUGAUGUUCUAGUUAUCAAACCAUAUCUAUGAAUGGGAUACACUAGCACGUCAAGGAGAACAUUAGAAGCGGAGUGCUAAAUGUCUCUCGGUCGAUCAUCCAGAUUUUGUUUCCUUGGCCUCGCUAAGGUGAAAACUGAGAAAGUGUUAUCUUCCUUUGCAUCUGCAUCCUCCAUCACCAUUCAUCAUGGUAGUAAGUUGUGCUACCGGACCCUUGACACGGAUGUUGGUAAAACCUUGAUGAAUGUGGAAAUGCUUAAGUUCUUGAGAGCACGCACAAGCGCUACGUCUUAUCAUCGGCACUAGCUGGGAUUGCCCCAGAUUCUUCGGUUAUGCUAUAACCACUCCAACAGUGAAUUCACUCUUUAUUGUUGGGUUCUUCCCCAGUUACCAGAAUCAUUCCCAGCAUUUGCAUUUUGUUCCCAGCUUGCACCGCCAAUGUGCCAUUCUACCACGGGUCUCUUCCAUCUCCGGUGAUAAGCAAAUUCAUCCAUUACGUUGUCUUCAACAAGGUAAUCCACAUCAUCCAAGUCCGAGUAUGCCAUUCUACCGACCCCCUCCAAAUGAUCGCUUGUGAUUACCUUAGGCUGGUAUAAAGAGUUCCAAUGAUCUCUGAAUCAAAAGUAAUUCUUUUUGCCACUUAAGAUAAUAAUCUACGAAUCACCCUCCUCCAGGAUGUUUCGUCGUGGUAUCAUGGCAACUCAACUCCUCGCUACGUUGACAAUCGUUUACCACCUUCUUAGGUGUGGAAUUGUUGUCUACCUAGUGAACCUUCAUCAUCCGUUUCUUCCCCCCCCCUCUUGAUGUGUAUCUCGUGUCUCAACCGAGAGAUGGUUCUAUGUCUCAUUCCGUGAGUUAAUCCUGAGUUGUUCGACCUUCGAGAAGACCGAUCCUUCUAGAGUUUUCCUUUCCUCUUCUUUUCAUGAUUAGCUGGAGUUCUCAGAGCAAGACGACAAGACAAAGAUGGUGUUCGAAUCAACGUUCCUAUGAAGUGCACCCUGGAUCGUGAAGAUUAUACUAGUCCGCGUUACCCUUCACCUUACCCUACGCUUGAAUCUCGAGACGAGAUUCUUGUUUAGUGGGGGUGAGUUGUCACAUCCCUAGCUUCUGGUAAUGCACUAGGCUAGACCACUUGUGAGCAUCAUGUUUUAUUUCAAAUAAAAUUUGAACUGAGGAAUUCAGAAGCCUCAAAACUUAAAUAAAAGAGGGGCAAGAAACCCUAAAAUUGCAAUCAGUAAAUCCAAAAUGCCCUAGAAAUAGCUCUGACAAUUUUGGCAAGAGUUAUAUAUCAAACCAAAAUUUUGGGACAUUUCUAAGGAAUUAUUGGGCUCUGAUUUUAAAUCAAUAUUUUAUUUGAAUUUGGAGUUAUAUUCAUAAUAUAUAAUGAAUAUAUUUUCAAAUGACCUGAGAUAUUUUUAUUAUGUGUGGAGAAGUCCAUUAGGUGACUUAAAAAAUAUCCAGGGAAGUUUAGGCACUGUUUUCAAAUUCUGUUUGAAUUAAAAUUCAGUGCCAAUUAAAUAAAACAGAACAAAAAUAGAAAACAGUAAAAAAAGAGAGAGAGAGAGAGAGAGAGAGAGAAGCCCAGCUUACCUGGCCUCACCCGUGCAGUCCACCAGAACUGGCCCAGCUGGCCAGCCCAUCUGGCCGGCCCAGCCCACCUCCUCCCCCUUGUCUUCUUCCUCCUCUGCCAGGAGGACGAACAGAGGCGUGGCGCGCGCCCGAGAGGCCUCGGCCACCUCCUGCUUCCCCCCUGGCCACCUCCUGCCUGGUUGCCUCCCUCCUCGACGCCCGGAGACGCCACGCCACCUCCUCGGACCCCUCUCACUCUUCCUCGAGGCCCCGCUCCUCUGCUCUUUCUCUCUCGCCCGAACCCGAACGCAGCCGUCGCCGCCGACGAGAACCACCGCGGCCACCGCCUUUCCCUCGCCUCUCCGACGCGCCCCCGAGCUCCGCCGUGACGUUCCCGUCCCUACCACGGAGCCACAAGACGCCGGAUGCCCUGGAGCGCCGUCACCGACGCCAUCUUCUUCCUCUGCACCGACGGCCGUCGUCGCUUGAUUCGCCGGCCACAGAGCGUCCCCGGCCUCGCCCUCGCGCUCGUUGGACUCGCGGUGAGCCACUGAACCGUUCCCCUCUUCUUCCCAUGCCGUUGGGCCGCUCUAGCCAUUGCUUCCGCCGGACCCGAGAGCUCGCCGCCGCCGUGCCUCGUCACCACCGUGGCUGGAGCCGUUGCAGCUCGAAGCCGAGCACACCACCGCACUCAACACGUCUCCAGGAGCCCGUAGCCGCCACUAGCUUCCCCUCCCGUGCCCCUGAACGCCAACCCCGACCUCGCCCGAGCUCCGGCCGCCGCCUCGCUCGCCGCCGUUGCUGAUUCCGGCCACCCCCGCACCUUCCGUUGGUCCCCCUAGAUGCGCACGGGCGUGGGCUACCUCCUGGUGCCCUUGGCGCAUCGAUCCGAUGCCCCUAGCGCAAGUCCGGCGUGCCCCGCCGUGUCCUAUGGUCGCCGCCGGCUGGUCUCCGGUGACGCCGACGUGGCGCACUUACUUAGUCGCUAAUGACCAUGCUAAACACCCCCACAGACACUGACAGCGGGCCCCGUAGCGGGUCAAAGCCUGAGUCAACGCGGGAUUAGCCCCUGUGCCACUGACGUGUGGACCCCACACGUCAGGUUUGACCCUGACCGGCCCGGUUGACCCUGCUGACGUCACUGUGACGUGGUGCUGACGCCAUAAUCAUUUCUGGAUUUAAUUUAACUCUGAAAUUCCAGAAAAUGCCUAAAACUUCAAUAAAUCAUAGAAAAUUAACCGUAACUCCAAAUUAAAUAAAUUAUAUAUGAAAAAUUAUCAGAAAAAUUCAAGGAAUCCAUCUGUACCAUUUUCAUGCAUGUUAGAACAACUUAUCACUACUGUUGAGGGCAAAUGAAGUGAAUGACAUUUAAAUAACCACAUACGGAGUUUGAAUUUGAAUCUUGUAUUCAAACCAACUUCAUUUAAUCUGGUUUUAGGUGCAUUAGCCCAAAACACAUUCAUAUUGCCAUGUCAUAGCAUGCAUCAUAUUGUGCAUUGCAUUGAUCGUGUCUUUUCUGUAUUUGCCGGUAUUUGUCCCCUCUCGAUAGACGUGUACUGAUGAUGUGAUCGUUGACACUGAUGAAGACUCAAUGUUAUCUUUAGAAGUGCCAGGCAAGCAAAACCCCCUUGUUCAUUCCGAUACAAUCCUACUCUCUCGCUCCUGCUCUCUUUUAAUGCAUUAGGACAACACCGAUUCAUCUGUUACUUGCUGCGAUAGCUGAACCCCUUCAUCCUCUGCAUGACCUGUCAUUGCCACAGUAAAUAGAUGAAACCCACUAGCAUGAGUAGGAGUUGUUUGAGCCCUGUUGUGCCUACUCAUUCAUGUUUGUUUGUCAUGCCUGCUACUGCUUAGAGUUGAGUCAGGUCUGAUUCAUCGGGGAUGAAUCAGAGGCGUGUGAACAUGUCCUAUUGUGUGUGAGCUAAGUGUGUGAACACGAUUUGGUAAAGGUAGCGGUGAGAGGCCAUGUAGGAGUACAUGGUGGGUUGUCUCAUUGUAGCCGUCCUCAGGAACUGAGUUCUGUGUUUGUGAUCCAUGAUUCAGCUACUACCAUACAUUGGGCCCUGAAAUAUGACCCCGCUCGACUUCUUAUUCACCCUUGUCCUCUGUCCAGGAGUUGCAAGUAGUUUCUGGUGUUUGUAGUAUGCUGGAGGCCGUGGACAGCGCUGACCGUAGGGGUGGGCUGUGAUGCGGUAGGCACGUGGCCGGGUAAACCGGGCGCCCGUUUGGUGUCACGGAACCCUGUUCACAUCGUUUGGGGCUGUGAGCGAAACUCCGGCCGGAUCUCCUCAUGGAUGGAACCCGAAUAGGCGAUAAACCUGGACUAGAGACUUGAGUGUUUAGGUAGGUCGUGGUCUACACCCACGUCGGCUUUCGCUUGAAGUCUGCCGAGCACAUGUCGUGUGCAGACGCUAAGUGGUGGAAACAUUUAUGAAGAAGUACACCCCUGCAGGGUUAUCAUCAUCUAUUCGAAUAGCCGUGUCCGCGGAAAAGGACUUCUGGGUUGCUUAUAUCAGUUCAUAGACAAGUGAAAGUGGAUACUCUAAAAUACGCAAGAUAAGCGUGAGUUCUAUGGAUGGCGUUCUCGUAGGGAGACGGGAGCGAUUCCAUAGUGGUGUAUUGAUAUGGGGAAUAUGUGGACUCGUGUGCGCCACCUCAAAAGAGUUACUUGCAGUCGUAGUUCAGGAUAGCCACCGAGUCAAAGCUGGCUUGCUGCAGUUAAACCCCACCAUCCCCUUUGUUGAUAAUGAAGCAUAUGUAGUUAGUUCUGAUGUAAGUCUUGCUGGGUACAUUUGUACUCACGUUUGCCUAUUUAUGUUUUUGCAGAGAGACUUCGGUCUCGCUAGUAGUUCCGCGUGGACUUCGACGUUUAGCUUGUUACCUCAGCUACGAUCUUGUGCCCUCGGCAGGAUCUGGUAGAUAGUCAGGCUUCUCAUCCUUUUUCAUUUAUAGAUGUCUGUACUCAGACAUGAUAGCUUCCGCUUGUGCUUUGACUUGUAUGCUCUGAUUGUUGGGUCAUGAGACCCAUGUUUGUAAUAUCUCGCUCCUCGGAGCCUAUUGAUUAAAUUACUUGAGUCAUAGAGUCAUGUUGUGAUGCCAUGUUGUGUUUGCACAUAUCGAGCAUAUUGUGUGUAUGUUAUUGAAAUGCUUGGUAUGUGUGGGAUCUGACUAUCUAGUCGUUUAUCUUCAGUAGCCUCUCUUACCGGGAAAUGUCUCCUAGUGUUUCCACCGAGCCAUGGUAGCUUGCUACUGCUCCGGAACACUUAGGCUGGCCGGCAUGUGUCCUUCUUCGUUCCUGUGUCUGUCCCUUCGGGGAAAUGUCACGCGAUGAAUACCAGAGUCCUGUUAGCCCGCUACAGCCCGGUUCACCGGAGUCCUGCUAGCCCAGUGCUACAGCCUGGAUUCACUCGCUGAUGACCGACACGUUCGAUGCUGGGUCAUGGAUGCCUGUCCCUGUAAGUUCGACUAGCCAUGUCAGCCCGGGCUCCUUAUCAUAUGGAUGCUAGCGACACUGUCAUAUACGUGUGCCAAAAGGCGCAAACGGUCCCGGGUAAAGGUAAGGCGACACCCGUGGGAAUACCGUGCGUGACGCCGCAAAGUGAUAUGAAGUGUUACAUGCUAGAUCUAUGUGGCAUCGAGUCGGGGUCCUGACAGUGGUUAUCAUGCACCGCUCGGGCGAACCGAAUUUGCGAAAUUCAAUGUGGUACCGCAUUAUGCAUAUCUCAAGCUCAAGAUGCCAGGACCUCGGGGGGUCAUCACAGUCAAUUGAAACACAGAGCGCUCUCUCCGCACAGAGGAGCACACUGCGGCCCUCGUGGCAGAAGCACAAAGCAGCCUCUUAAGGCAAUCCACUAGUUCGGUGAUUAAGGACCCGAACAACUUCAAGCGCGCCCGGAGUAAUCGGCAACUGGACCGCCUGGCACGUUCCGAGCUCGCAUAGCAAUGCGGCCCCCACCCCGGUCCCUGCCAAACGGCGAAAUCCGUGCCACGCGUACAUAAUUAAGCAUUAAAAAUACCAUGGGCACAGGAGGGGAGGGGGGCACGAUUGCGGCACGCUCCAAGACGCGGCUUAAACCGCACUAGGGGCUUCCCGCUUUGUUAUUUUUCUCUUUCAGGACUUUAAUCUCUGGAAACCCCGUCCGGCAGUAUGAUUGUCGAACACAUGAUGCAGCAACCAUGGAGGCAGAAAGCUACGUCACACCACGGAACUCCCAGGUGGAUUACGAUAACGAGUGAAAUAUUUGCUUUAAUAUUAUUCCUCAGCUUGCCGUUGGAGGGGACAUAGUCCUACUUUUUUGCUUAUCGCACUACCUGUAUCAUUCCGCUUUAACGCACAUUUUUGAAUAAACAAUGCAUUGCAUUAAGGCUUUUAAUUGCAUUCUUCUUUUAUAUAUAUAUAUAUAUAUAUAUAUAUAUAUAUUCAUUUAUGACAUCCAGCACCCGUACACUCUGCUACGGCCAAUACGUUGGGGGCUUAAGCAUACCCCAUAAUAUGGCGUGAGAAGUCCGAACACUUUCGACAGUGCGGCACCCCGAACUUAUAGCAUUAUAUGCAUCAUCUCCGAAUCAUGUCUUGGGUCAAUAGUUGGGUUUGCCCGACUCCCAUGUUUUGGUACCUUACGUUCCGCUAUAUCGGCUAAGGUAGCACUGGGAGAACUACUGCGAUUGUUCCCCAGUUCUGCUGGGCUAAGCACCUCAAUAGAGAAAGCUAAAACUGACUGUCAUGAUAAGGCGAGAGACUGGUCGCUGUUCGAGAGGUUUUCGAGUCCUUAAAGACUUAUGCCGCUUAGAGCGAGGAGUCGGCCCUGUCCGGCUUAAGGCGUGUAUCGUGCCCCAGAUUCGGCCUUCCGAAUACUAGGGGCUUCGCCGAAAUUUAAAAUUAUAUAAUUCUAUGGCUAAGUGAGAGUGAUAACGCAUUAUAGUCCGAUUGCCUUGUUCGUUGUGCUGAGCACCUCCCUCGAAGGACCCAAAAAUGGGAACAAGAGUGCUCAGGUUUAUCCCGAACACCGCAACACUCGUGGCAUGGGGGCAGAAGCCGACGACUAGCCAUCUCUCAGAUUUGAUAAAUAGAUGAACAGAAGGUAAUAUUUUAAAUUCAAACAAGCGUUGCAUAGAGCAUAUGAACAAGUUUUCAUGAAUACGGGAUUACACAAGCGAGCUCACUAAAAUAUUAUAUCUUUCGUACACUCGUCCGCUACGAGACGGGCACCCUUCAGGACACCCUCGUAGUACAUCUCGGGGUGGCGAUGCUCCUUGCCCUCCGGCAGCCCUUCCUUGAUCAGCUUCACGGCGUCUAGCUUGACCCAUUGCAACUUCACACGGGCGAAAGCCCGGCAUGCACCUUCGAUGCAGAUGGACCACUUGAAGACUUCUAGUCGUGGGCAGGCAUCCACAAGCCACCUCACCAGGCCGAAGUAGCUGUUCGGAAGGGCGUCGCCAGGCCACAGCCGUACUAUAAAGCCCUUCAUGGCCUGUUCGGACACCUUGUGUAGCUCGACCAGCUGCUUUAGCUGGUCGCUCAUAGGCAUCGGGUGUUCGGUCCCAGUAUAUUGGGCACAGAACAAAUUCUCCAUUGAGCUUCCCUCCUCGGCCUGGUAAAAUGUUGCGGCAUCCGACACGCUGCGGGGCAAAUCUGCGAAUGCUCCUGGAGAGCUCCAGAUUCGGGUAAGUAACAAGUAAUUUACUUUCACAUGCUUGCUUUGCAUAUUGAAUGCCUUACCCGCCGCUAUCUUCCGCAUCGCCUCAAUCUCCCGGAGGGCCUUUUGGGCUUCAGCCUUGGCAUUCUUCGCGCUCUCAAGGGCCGCGGCAAGCUCAGACUCUCGCGUCUUUGAGUCAAGCUCCAACACCUUGUGCUUCGUCACGAGAGCUUGGAGCUCUUGCUGCACCUCGCCCACCCACGCCUCUUGCUUUUCUCGCUCGGUGCGCUCCUUGGAUGCUUUGUUUUCGGCCUCGGAUAGCGCUUGUUUCAGGGUCGCCACUUCGGUAGUGGCCCCUGACAAAUUUAUGAUGGUCCUAUCAUUUUGCAAUCACAUCUCUCUUAUAUAUACACAUCUAUAGACUAGGUAUUACUUACCUUUGUUCUACUCAAGCUGCCUCUUGGCAAGGCCGACCUCUUCCAGGGACCCUUUGAGGUCCUGCUUCAGUGCGGCAACCUCCGCAGUCUGUGCGGCAGAGGCCAGCAGCGAAGCCUGCAUACGCAUAUAGACAUACUUAUAUUAGACUCUUGCGAUAUUGUUUGAUCCUUUGUUCGGCUUUCCUUUGUGAACACCAAACAGAGCAUCAGGGGCUACUGUCUAUGCGGUAAUAUUUCUCCUAUAUUUCAAAAACUUACCUCAAAGCCUGUUAGAAGAAUGGCACAGGCUUCAGUCAGUCCGCUCUUGGCGGACUGAACCUUCUUGAUCACCGCACUCAUUAUAGUACGGUGCUCUUCAUCGAUGGAAGCGCUGCAAAGCGCUCCCAGCAGAUUGUCUGGUGCCUCUGGAUGGACAGAGUUCACCGGCACAGGCGUCUUGCCCCUUUUGGAAGGAGGCCGCCUACCCGAGUCCGGAACCACUGGGGGUUCCAGCGCGGUGUUCGGCUGAGGGCCGAAAUCGGAGCCCUCGGGAGCCUUGCUCCCUCUGCUCCCGAAGUCCGGAAGGUCGCCUUGAGGCGCCUCCGGGACUGUCUCCCCUCGACUUGGUGCCUCUUGAGACAAUACAUCGGCGUUGUCCGUAGGGCAAGGGGAGGUGGCGUUCGGAAGUGGAUCGCUAUCCAUAUCCGAGGAGCCCAGGGAGCCGUCCGACGAUACGUCGAUACGGGCUCGUGGUGGUCUGCAUAGCCAUAAUUCGGCAUUAGGAGAGGCAGUGCGACAAAGGUAUGCUAUGAGUUACUCUGGUAUCCGAAUACUUACGACUUCGCUAAGGGCUUGGCCCUGAGCAGCCACUCGUCUUCGCCUUCGGUGGCGGUGGUGGAGUAGUCCGGAAGGAGAGUCCUUCCCUUCUUGGACCCUUAAGCCCCCCCGGUUGGGGAGGCCUUCCUUUUCUUGUCUCCCCUGAUUGGAGGGGGAGCAUCUUCAUCUUGCUCCUCAUCUUCGAGGGAGGAGUGUGUCGCGGAGUUAUCAGAUGAUCAGUCCGAUAUCACCUGGCGCCGGGAACUCUUCCGGGUUCCCUUGGCCUUCUUGGUCUUCUCCGGCACCUUGUAAGAAGCCAGAGUCAGCAUCUCUGUCAGGACAGCAUCCGCAGUGUCUUCGGGCAGAGGGGUCGACAGUUAAUCUACCCCGACGUCUCCACCCAGUCAUGUCAAAGGCAUGGAGACUCAGAUCCCGCACAUGGUUAAGCAAAGAGAAGUAAAAAAUCCUACCGAAUGUAUAGAACUCACCGAAUGCGCUCGGCGCUUUGCGCUUAGCCUGCGGUCCUCUGUAAGAGAGGGAGGGACCUCGGCGCCCUUGAAUAGCACCCUCCAGAUGUCCUUGUGCGUCGUGUCGAAGAGCUCGCUCGGAGUUUGGUGCCGGGUUGGGUCGAACUCCCACAAGUUAAAAUCCCGUUGUUGACACGGGAGGAUCCGGCGGAUGAGCAUGACCUGGACUAUGUUGACAAGCUUGAGUUUCUUGCUUUCCAUGUUCAGGAUACAUUUCUGGAGUCCGUCCAGCUCCACCGAUGAACCCCGCGACAAGCCCUUCUCUUUCCAGGAAGUGAGUCGUGUAGGGAAUCCAGAUCGAAACUCGAGGGCCGCCACCCAGUUGGUGUCGGCGGCUCGGUGAUGUAGAACCAGGCCGAUUGCCACCCCUUUAUGGUCUCCACGAAGGAGCCUUCAAGCCAUAUAACAUUGGGCAUCUUGCCCACCAUGGCUCCGCCGCAUUCCGCUUGUUGGCCUCCCACCACCUUCGGCUUGAUAUUGAAGGUCUUCAGCCACAGACCGAAGUGAGGCCGGAUGCGGAGGAAAGCCUCACAGACGAUGAUGAACGCCGAAAUGUUGAGGAUGAAGUUUGGAGCCAGAUCAUGAAAGUCCAGCCCAUAGUAGAACAUGAGACCACGGACGAAUGGAUGAAGGGGAAACCCCAGUCCGCGAAGGAAGUGGUGGAGGAAAACUACCCUCUCAUGAGGUUCUGAUGUAGGAACGAUCUGCUCCGCAGCAGGCAGCCGAUGCGCAAUAUUCGCGGCUAAGUAUCCGGCGUCACGGAGCUUUUUGAUGUGCCCCUCCGUAACGGAGGAAGCCAUCCAUUUGCCCCCUGCUCCGGACAUGUUUGGAGAAGAUUGAGGGGAAGGAUGUAUACUUGGGCAUUGGAGCUCGAGUGCGCAAGAACGGAUGAGCAAGGAGGAAGAAGGCGUGUGUAGAGAAAGGUUAAACCUUAUCCCUUUAUAAGGGCGGCCGAAACUAUGCACCCCCACUAGCCUGGUAAAACUCGCUUAUCCCCCAAGCGUCGUAAUCGAUGGCGCGGUUGGGUUACCCACGCCCGUAUUGAUGAGAAUCCCGUAAUAAGGGGACACAAUCUCUGCCUUGACAAGACGUGUCAAAAAACUACCUCGCGUUAUGUGCGGGGCUAGUUAAAGGAAAUGGUUCGAAUAAUCACCGGGCCAUGGCAUAACUUCAUGUUGCCGAAACAAGUCAGCGGAUUAGAUUUGUGGAAAUAUUAUUCUCUCUAUGGUGGAAUGUGGAACUUAUUUUACAGGGUCAGACACUAUCCUUGUAUUCAAAAUUUUCCGUGGUGUAUUAGGAGGAGGAACCCGCCUUGCAAUGCCGAAGACAAUACUGCGCGCCGGACUCAUCGUUAUUGAAGCCUGGUUCAGAGGCUACUCAGGGAGUCCUGGAUUAGGGGGUCUCCAGACAGCCGGACUAUAUCCUUUGGCCGGACUGUUAAACUAUGAAGAUACAAGAUUGAAGACUUCGUCUCGUGUCCGGAUGGGGCUCUACUUGGCGUGGAAGGCAAGCUAGGCAAUACGGAUAUGUAUAUCUCCUCAUUUGUAACCGACCUUGUGUAACCCUAGCCCUUUCAGGUGUCUAUAUAAACCGGAGGGUUUUAGUCCAUAGGACAACAUACAAUCAUACCAUAGGCUAGCUUCUAGGGUUUAGCCUCUCUGAUCUCGUGGUAGAUCAACUCUUGUAAUACUCAUAUCAUCAAGAAUAAAUCAAGCAGGACGUAGGGUUUUACCUCCAUCAAGAGGGCCUGAACCUAGGUAAAACAUCGUGUCCCCUGCUUCCUCUUACCAUACGCCUUAGACGCACAGUUCGGGACCCCCUACCCGAGAUCCGUCGGUUUUGACAUCGACAUUUGUGCUCUUGGCAUUGGGUAUAGUCAUGGUAGUGAAAUUCCGGUUUUCUCUUUCGAUAUUCUUAGCCCAUCUGACACGGAACAUCGUCGUGUUGUGCAGUCCAAAGUAGUCAAGCUCCCAGAUCUCCUCGACCCUUCCGUAAAAUCUUUCAGUUGCACCGUUGUCGCUGCCGGUCAUGCAUUCCAUCGUCACCCCUGAGUUCUGAUCACCACUAUCCAUAUCUUUGGCCUCCAUGUAGAAUGUUUAUCCGUUGAUAUCGUAUGCCUGAUAGGUUAGGAGGUUGGGCAAGGGGCUAUGUGCUAAGGCGUAUAUGAGCAAUCCGUCCUUAGAGCCCUCCUCCGGGGGAUUAGCAAUAAUAUGCUCUUUGAACCAAUGCAGGAAAGUAGAGUUAUGCUCUCUCGUAAAUUUGGCGUCUGUCCUGCAUACCCCCCGGUCACGAUACUUCUUUGCGAUAAUUUCUUUGUGAAGUGCCACGAAAGGAUCUACCUCGUCUAGGUGUUGUAGCACUACCAAGUUUGCUAUGUCAAAGUUGUUGCGUCGAUCUGAGUAUGCCACAUGUAGUUCCCUGCGACCAUUGGAGUGACCUUCUCCUUCGAGCCUCCCAUCGUGCUUGUUAACGGGCAAACCAACACUAACAUCAGGCGGCUGGUCUGCGCCAUAUAGAAAAUUCUCGCAGAAAGAGAUGCACUCUUGUGUUAGAUAGCCCUGGACGAUGCUUCCAUCUGGACGGGACAUGUUACGAACGAAUCCUUUGAUGAUCCCAUUCAUCCUCUCAAACGGCAUCAUGUUGUGCAGAAAUGACGGCCCCAAGUCUAUUACAUCGUCCACAAUAUGGACACACAGAUGCACCAUCACGUCAAAGAACGCGGGCGGGGAGUACAUCUCAAGCUCAUUCAGUAUCACAACAAUCUCUUCCUGUAGCCUUCGGAGCUGCUUCAGACUGAUCGACUUUCGAGAGAUGACGUUGAAAAAGUUGCAGAGACCAAUAAGCGUGGCAUGGACGUGCUUGUCCAUUAUCCCUCUAAGGGCAACAGGUAGUAUCUGCGUCAUCAUCACAUGACAGUCAUGGGACUUCAUCCCGCUGAACCUUUUCUUGUACGUGUCUAGAUAUCUGCUUAUCUUGCCAUAGUAACCGGAACUAACUUUGACUCCGGUAAGGCACUUAAAGAAUUGAUCGAUCUCAUCCUGACUUAAGGUGAAGCAAGAAGGGGGGCAAUAAUCCUCUUUCUUUAAUUUCUUGCCCUUCUUCUCCCGCACCUCUAUCUCCGUCUCUGUCUCGUCUGACUGUUUACGGGGUGGCAUGUGCAGAUCUUCCCUUAUAUUCAAAUCUUGCAAGUCUUUUCUUGCCUUCCGCCCAUCCUUGGUCUUAUCCGGCAUGUUCAUUAGUGUCACGAGCAAACUCUCAAGGACAUUCUUACAGAUGUGCAUUUGAUCAAGGCAAUGAGGUGUAUCGAGUCUCUGCCCGUACUCCAUGUCCCGGAACACAGACCUCGUCUUCCAUACCUUCAGCAGCGACUCCGGCGCCUUUUUCGUCGUCUUUCCCGGCGUGGGGCACUCCUUCCAGUUUUUCAACAGCUCAUCGAUUUCGGCACCGCUCCGCUUACGUGGAGGUCCACGAUGCUCAGCGUGACCAUUGAAUAGAUCUCCACGGUUUCUCCACGGGUCGUCCUGUUCGAGCCAUCUUCGAUGCCCCAUGUAUACAAUUUUCCCAGACCGCCAUCUUUCCUUGACGUUAGCUACUGAGAUGUUGUAUCAUCCAUGCAACGCGUGCAUCCGCAAUAUCCAUGGCACACUGAUACGUCUCCAACGUAUCUAUAAUUUUUGAUUGUUCCAUGCUAUAUUAUAUUCUGUUUUGGACAUUAUUGGGCUUUAUUAUACACUUUUAUAUUAUUUUUGGGACUAACCUAUUAACCAGAGGCCCAGCCCAGAAUUGCUGUUUUUUGCCUAUUUUAGGGUUUUGCAGAAAAAGAAUAUCAAACGGAGUCCAAACGGAAUGAAACCUUCGGGAACGUGAUUUUCGGAACGAACAUGAUCCAGAAGACUUGGACCCUACAUUAAGACAUCAACCAGGAGGCCACGAGGUAGGGGGCGCGCCUACCCCCUGGGCGCGCCCUCCACCCUCAUGGGCCCCCUGUUGCUCCACCGAUGUACACCUUCCUCCUAUAUCACUAGUAGAAAAACGACUUUUAGUACCGGUUCGUAAGGACCUUUAGUACCGGUUCUGGAACCGGUACUAAAGGGUGGGCACUAAAGGUUCCCACCAUUUAGUCCCGGUUCAACACGAACCGGGACCAAAGGCCCACCACGUGGCACGAGGCGCGCUAUGGUCUUGGGGACCUUUAGUCCCGGUUGUUGGAUUUUUUUGAUUUUUUUUUGAAAUAAAGCAAAAACAGCCCACCUACUGGGCCGGCACGGCCUGCAUACGACUAGAAACCCAACCUCUAGUUGGACCAGGAUGCAGGCCCGUACGGCCCAGUAGGCCCCAGAGGGCAGAAGACUUGCAAUAGGCCCACAAAGGCCUGCUUAGAGAGGAGCUCGAUACGGUACCCGCGGCGGGGCUUAUAAACCAAUGCGAGCUCCUCUCAACUAGCAAGUUGGGACUAAACAUUGUGCACUGCGGGUGGUAGCGCACCACCUUUAGAACCGGUUGGUGGCUCCAACCGGUACUAAAGGGGGGGUCUUUAGUACCGAUUGGAGCCACCAACCCGUACUAAAGGCCACCACCUUUAGUACCGGUUGGAGCCACCAACCCGUACUAAAGGGGGGGUCUUUAGUACUGGUUGGAGCCACCAACCCAUACUAAAGGCCACCACCUCUUUAGUACCGAUUCGUGGCACGAACCGGUACUAAAGGUUCGCCAUGAACCGGUACUAAUGAGUGCCGCCCGCCUAGCCGUUGGAACCGGCACUAUGGGUCACAUUAGUGCCGGCUCAAAUACAAAACGGGACUAAUGAGCUGAACAUUUGACCCUUUUUCUACUAGUGUAUAUACCUACGUACUCCCAAACUACCAGAUACAGAGCCAAAACCCUAAUUCCACCGCCAUAACUUUCUGUAUCCAUGAGAUCCCAUCUUGCGGCCUGUUCCGGAGCUCCGCCGGAGGGGGCAUCGAUCACGGAGGGCUUCUACAUCAACACCAUAGCCCUUCCGAUGAAGUGUGAGUAGUUUACCUCAGACCUACGGGUCCAUAGUUAUUAGCUAGAUGGCUUCUUCUCUCUUUUUGGAUCUCAAUACAAAGUUCUCCCCCUCUCUUGUGGAGAUCUAUUCGAUGUAAUCUUCUUUUGCGGUGUGUUUGUUGAGACCGAUGAAUUGUGGGUUUAUGAUCAAGUUUAUCUGUGAACAAUAUUUGAAUCUUCUCUGAAUUCUUUUAUGUAUGAUUGGUUAUCUUUGCAAGUCUAUUCGAAUUAUCAGUUUGGUUUGGCCUACUAGAUUGAUCUUUCUUUCAAUGGGAGAAGUGCUUAGCUUUGGGUUCAAUCUUGCGGUGUCCUUUCCCAGUGACAGUAGGGGCAGCAAGGCACGCAUUGUAUUGUUGCCAUCGAGGAUAACAAGAUGGGGUUUAUUUCAUAUUGCAUGAGUUUAUCCCUCUACGUCAUGUCAUCUUGCUUAAAGCGUUACUCUGUUUUCUUGAACUUAAUACUCUAGAUGCAUGCUGGAUAGCGGUCGAUGUGUGUUGUAAUACUAGUAGAUGCAGGCAGGAGUUGGUCUACUUGUCUCGGACAUGAUGCCUAUACACAUGAUCAUACCUAGAUAUUCUCAUAAUUAUGCUCAAUUCUAUCAAUUGCUCAACUGUAAUUUGUUUACCCGCCAUGAAUACUUAUGCUCUUGAGAGAAGCCACUAGUGAAACCUAUGGCCCCCGGGUCUAUCUUUCAUCAUAAUAAUCUUCCAAUACUUAGUUAUUUUUAUUGCCUUUUAUUUUACUUUGCAUCUUUAUCAUAAAAAUACCAAAAAUAUUAUCUUAUCAUAUCUAUCAGAUCUCACUCUCGUAAGUGACCGUGUAGGGAUUGACAACCCCUUAUCGCGUUGGUUGUGAGGAUUUAUUUGUUUGUGCAGGUACGAGGGACUCGUGCGUGGCCUCCUACUGGAUUGAUACCUUCGUUCUCAAAAACUGAGGGAAAUACUUACGCUACUUUGCUGCACCACCCUUUCCUCUUCAAGGGAAAACCAACGCAAGUGCUCAAGAGGUAGCACACACCUGGCCUAUGACAUAUCCGUAACUGAGAUAGUCGCGCACCGUCGUGAUCAGCGCGGCUCUCAUGUAGAAAUACUCGCUUUUGCUGGCGUCCCAUGUCUUGGCCGGUGUUUUCCAUAAUGUGUCUAACUCCUCUUGAAGUAGCCCCAGAUACAAAUUAAUAUUAUUUCCUGGUUGUUUCGUCCCUAGAAAAAGCAUGCUCAUGUGAAUGUACUUCGACUUCAUGCACAACUAGGGGGUUGUACAUCCAUACAAACACGGGCCAUGUGCUAUGGUUGGUGUUCUGGUUGCCAAACGGAUUCAUGCCAUCGGUACACGCGCCAAGCAUGAUGUUCCUUGCAUCACAUUCGAAAUACCGAUAGAAGUUGUUCAACGCUCUCCACUGUCUUCCAUCCUUGAUGUGUCUCAGCUUCGGAUCAUCUCCAUCGUCGAGCUUCUUCCUCUCCGCGUGCUAGUGCAUUAGCUUUGCUUCCUUGGGAUCUACAAAAUACCGCUGGAGACGGGGAGUGAUCGAUAAGUACCAUACAACUUUCUGGGGAUAUUUCUUCCCGGCCUUCUUGCAUCGAGAAGCAUUGCACACCGGACAUCUUGUUUUUCCGCGUGCUCCUUCCAAUAAAUUAUGCAAUCGUUGAUGCAUGCAUGGUAUCUAACAUGCGGCAGAUCAAGAGUGCACACGAUCUUCUUGGCCUCAUCAACACUAGUAGGACAUAGAUUCCCCGCGGGGAGAACAUCCUUUAGGUACUUCAGAUGCUCAUCGAGGCUAGUGUCGGUCCAUUUGUUUUUAGCCUUCGUCUUCAGGAGUUGGAGCGUGAAACUCAAGCGGGUCACCUCAGGAUUGCAACCACCAUACAAUGGAGUGUUCGAGUCUACCACCAGUUGCUCCAGCUUAGCCUCCUCUCUAGAAGCAGCUCUCUCAGUACUCUUCUCCUUGCGAAGCAGUGCUUCAACAUGAGGGUCCUACACGAUUGAACUUAGUACCGACGAACUCUGCUGCGUGGAGUCCACGUUAACGUUCUCUUCGCCGCCAUGUCCGACCCCUUCUACUCCUCCAUGUCCGGCUCCUUCUCCACCGCCAUGUCCGGCCCCUUCUCCACUGCCAUGUCCGGCCUCUUCCCCGCCACCAUUAUCGAUCAUCUCUUCAUCUUGCCCCGUGUCGUCAUCGCCUGCCCCGUCGGCGUCCUCAACAUCAUCAUCCUCAUCUUCAAUUAUCCACCGAGUAUAGCCAUCCAUGAAACCAGUCAUGAGUAGGUGCGCUUCGACACGACCAUCGUCAUAGGGGUCAAGCCAAACUAUUCCUUUGCAUUUUCGACACGGACAUCAAACCUCUGUCCGGUUAUUUUCAUUCAUGUCCUGCACCGCCGGUCGCAACCACCUGUCCACCAUCAUUCCACUGACCAUCAUGAACGUCUGCACAGUAAUAAUAAACAAAUUGAUUAUAAAAAUUCAUGCAUGCAUCAAAGUCAUACAAAAAUUCGGCAUGACCUUCCCUAAAAAUAGGACAUAUAUAGAUCUAGAGUUUGCCCGGAAUUCGCCGGAAACGGAAAUAAAUCGACAUUUCGGCAAAACAUGGGCAACUCAAAAGCACAAUUUGGCAUCAACACAUGCCACACACACAAUUUCCAUCAUAUUGCCCAAUUAUCAUAUCACACACACAUACACAUGUUUCCAUUUUGCAAAAGCAUGAAAUUUUAAUCACCUCUAUCUCGAGAUCGAGCACACGGUGGAGAUGAUGAUGUAGGGAGAUCAAAAGUGCACAAAGCUCUUCUUGACAAAGAUAGAUCUAAUUAGGGGGCAAAUAGGUCACUUAACUAAAUGCUACAUCUACUUAGCUAGCUAAUUUGGGAGGAGACAACUUCAACUAGUGGAGGGGGAGGAAAAAGAGAAAAAAGAUGCAUUAAUGGAGGUGGUGUAGUUAGCUAGGAGUAAUGAAGAGAGAGAAAGGUAGGUAGAAGAGGGAGAGUAAUGGGGGAGAAGUAUUGAGGAAGAAGAAGAGUGAGAGAGGGAGGAUCUGGGAGGUAGGGAAAGGGAGGCGAGGAGAUGGGGGAGGGGAGGACUGGUGGAAAAUGGUGGUGGGGCUACAAACGUGCUACUGCUAAGAGCAUAGCAGCAGCACGCUUUUCUCACACGCGCUACUGCUAAACGGGCCAACCGUGUGGACAAUUCCAAAAUUAGCAGCAGCGACGUGACUAAAAAGUGCGCUACUACUAUUGAAUUAGCAGUAGUGCGCUUCGUGACGUCGCGCUGCUGGUAAACUUAGGUCGGUGUGUACUGUCGGUCGAUUUUUGUAGCAGCGCGGUUUAGACAUCAUGCGCUACUGCUAAAUUUACAUCAGUAGCGCAGUUUUCCUAAGCUCGCUACUGCUAAUUAGCAGUAGUGCCUCUUUUUGUGCCGCGCUGCUACUAAGAUUCUGUGUAUAAGGUUUUCCCUAGAAGUGCACAUAUAUUCAUGAAAACAUAAUAGAUUCAGAUCUGAAAUCAUGGCACUCGGGCCCUAGUGACAUGCAUUAAGCAUAGCAAAGUCAUAGCAACAUCAAUCUCAGAACAUAGUGGAUACUAGGGAUCAAACCCUAACAAAACUAACUCGAUUACAUGAUAAAUCUCAUCCAACCCAUCACCGUCGAGCAAGCCUACGAUGGGAUUACUCACGCACGGUGGUGAGCAUCAUGAAAUUGGUGAUGGAGGAAGGUUGAUGAUGACAAUGAUGACGGAUUCCCCUCUCCGGAGGCCCGAAUGGACUCCAGAUUAGCCCUCCCGAGAGAGAUUAGGGCUUGGUAGCGGCUCCAUAUCGUAAGAUGCGAUGAAUCCUUCUCCCUGAUUUUUUUUCUCCCCGAACGUGAAUAAAUAGAGUUGGAGUUGAGGUCGCUGGAGCACCAGGGGGCACACCCCCACCCUCAUGGAUAGGGUGUGGGCCCCUUGGCAUUGAUUCUUUCACCAGUAUUUUUAAUAUAUUCCAAAAAUAUUCUCCGUUGAUUUUCAGGUCAUGCCAAGAACUUUUAUUUCUGCACAAAAAUAAUACCAUGGCAAUUCUGCUGAAAAGAACAUCGGUUCGGGUUAGUUCCGUUCAAAUCAUGCAAGUUAGAGUCCAAAACAAGGGCAAAAGUGUUUGGAAAAGUAGAUACAUUGGAGACGUAUCAGUGAUGUUUUCAUCAAUCACUCACAAUUGUAUACCAGCAAUCGUUUGCUCACAACACACACAGCUUGUUAGCAGUAAUCGUCUAUGUUGUUAUCGGUCUUCCCACAUGUGUCCGAUUACAGACCUGUUUCCCUCGUAUCACACACAUCUUGUUCAUUUGAACCGUUGCUGUUCUCAUGUCUCAACGCAAACAGUUCAUCCGAGUGAACCGCAUGCCGUAUGUCGCACACACCUUUGAUCUGGCUGACUAUUUCUUUUGUGUUGCCUAAUCACAAACAAUUCAUCCGAGUGAACCGUAUGCUGUGUAUCGCACACGCCUUCAUCUGGCUGCCCGUUUCUUUUGUUCCUCCUCAUAGCAAAUAGUUCAUUGAACUGAAGCGUAUGCCCUUCAUCGCACACGCAAAUAAAACCUAAACCGUGUUUGAUGCAUUCGUCAUCGCAAAUGUUUUAUACAUUUCUAACGGUUUUCAUACAACACCGUUUGCGAUUAUUGCAUCACACACAGUUUCUUGAAGGGUCUCUGAUCGUAGUGUCGCGUUAGCAGCAUCCUGCAGUAGUGCUAGGCAAUGAUCAUGAAUAUAGGCAUUACGUCCGUGUCAAGUAGAUCCAAACGAUUCUACAUCUACUACUAUUACUCCACACAUUGACCGCUAUCCAUCAUGCAUCUAGAGUAUUAAGUUCAUAAGAAUAGAGUAACGCAUUAAGCAAGAUGACAUGAUGUAGAGGGAUAAACUCAAGCAAUAUGAUAUAAACCCCAUCUUUUUAUCCUCGAUGGAAACAAUACAAUACGUGCCUUGCUACCCCAACUGUCACUGGGAAAGGACACCACAAGAUUGAACCCAAAGCUAAGAACUUCUCCCAUUGCAAGAAAAUCAAUCUAGUAGGCCAAACUAAACCAAUAAUUCGAAGAGACUUGCAAAGAUAUCAAAUCAUGCAUAUAAGAAUUCAGAGAAGAACCAAAUAAUAUUCAUAGAUAAUCUUGUUCAUAAACCCACAAUUCACCGGAUCUCGGCAAACACACCACAAAAGAGUAUUACAUCGAAUAGAUCUCCAAGAACAUCGAGGAGAACUUUGUACUGAGAAUCAAAGAGAGAGAAGAAGUCAUGUAGCUAAUAACUAUGGACCCGAAGGUCUGUGGUAAACUAGUCACGCUUCAUCGGAGAGGCUAUGGUGUUGAUGUAGAAGCCCUCCGUGAUCGAUUCCCCCUCCGGCAGAUCACCAGAAAAGGCCCCAAGAUGGGAUCUCACGGGUACAUAAGGUUGCGGUGGUGGAAAAGUGGUUUCUUGGCUCUCUGCGAUCGAUCUAGGGUAUAUAUAGGCAAAAUAAGUACGUCAGUGGAGCUAUGUGGGGCCCAUGGGGUGGGGGCGCCUACCCCCCUGGGCGCGCCCUCCUGCCUUGUGGCCGCCUCAUGGAGUUACAGACUUCAACUCCAAGUCUGAUGAUUUCCUUUCGGUCCAAGAAAGAUCAUCGCGAAGGUUUCAUUCUCUUCGGAUUCCGUUUGGUAUUCCUUUUCUGCGAAACUCUAAAAUAGGCAAGAAAACAGAAACUGGCAUUGGGCCUCCGGUCAAUAGGUUAGUCCCAAAAAUAAUAUAAAAGGGCAUAUUAAAGCCCAUUAAACAUCCAAAACAGAUAAUAUAAUAGCAUGGAACAAUCAAAAAUUAUAGAUAUGUUGGAGACGUAUCAAGCAUCCCCAAGCUUAAUUCCAGCUCGUCCUCGAGUAGGUAAAUGAUAAAAACAGAAUUUUUGAUGUGGAAUGCUACCUAACAUAAUUAUCAAUGUAAGUUUCUUUAUUGUGGCAUGAAUGUUCAGACCCGAAAGAUCCAAGACAAAAUUUUAAUAUUGACAUAAAAAUAAUAAUACUUCAAGCAUAUAAACAAAGUAAUCAUGUCCUCUCAAAAUAACAUGGCCAAAGAAAGCUAUCCCUAAAAAAUCAUAUAAUAUGGCUAUGCUCUAUCUUCAUCACACAAAAUAUUUAAAUCAUGCGCAACCCCGAUGACAAGCCAAGCAAUUGUUUCAUACUUUUGAUGUUCUCAAACUUUUUCAAUCUUCACGCAAUACAUGAGCGUGAGCCAUGGACAUAGCACUAUAGGUGGAAUAGAAUGGUGGUUGUGGAGAAGACAAAAAGGAGAAGAUAGUCUCACAUGAACUAGGCAUAUCAACGGGCUAUGGAGAUGCCCAUCAAUAGAUAUCAAUGUGAGUGAGUAGGGAUUGCCAUGCAACGGAUGCACUAGAGCUAUAAGUGUAUGAAAGCUCAAAAAGAAACUAAGUGGAUGUGCAUCCAACUCGCUUGCUCACGAAGACCUAGGGCAUUUUGAGGAAGCCCAUCAUUGGAAUAUACAAGCCAAGUUCUAUAAUGAAAAAUUCCCACUAGUAUAUCAAAGUGACAAAAUAGGAGACUCCCUAUCAUGAAGAUCAUGGUGCUACUUUGAAGCACAAGUGUGGAAAAAGAUAGUAGCAUUGCCCCUUCUCUCUUCUUCUCUCAUUUUUCUAUUUUUUAUUUUUUAUUUGGGCCUUUUCUCUAUUUUUAUGGCCUCUUUUUUUCUUUUUUUUCUUUUUCGUCUAGAGUCUCAUCCUGACUUGUGGGGGAAUCAUAGUUUCCAUCAUCCUUUCCUCACUAGGACAAUGUUCUAAUAAUGAUGAUCAUCACACUUUUAUUUACUUACAACUCAAUAUUACAACUCGAUAUCUAGAACAAAGAUAUGACUCUAUAUGAAUGUCUCCGGCGGUGUGCUAGGAUGUGCAAUGAUCUAGCGUAGCAAUGACAUCAAAAAACGGACAAGCCAUAGAAACAUCAUGCUAGCUAUCUUACGAUCAUGCAAAGCAAUAUGACAAUGAAUGCUCAAGUCAUGUAUAUGAUGAUGAUGGAAGUUGCAUGGCAAUAUAUCUCGGAAUAGCUAUGGAAAUGCCAUGAUAGGUUGGUAUGGUGGCUGUUUCGAGGAAGGUAUAUGGUGGGUUUAUGGUACCGGCGAAAGUUGCGCGAUACUAGAGAGGCUAGCAAUGGUGGAAGGGUGAGAGUGCGUAUAAUCCAUGGACUCAACAUUAGUCAUAAAGAACUCACAUACUUAUUGCAAAAGUUUAUUAGCCCUCGAAGCAAAGUACUACUAUGCAUUCCCCUAGGGGGAUAGAUUGGUAGGAAAAGACCAUCGCUCAUCCCCGACCGCCACUCAUAAGGAAAACAAUCAAUAAAUACCUCAUGCUCUAACUUCGUUACAUAACGGUUCACCAUACGUGCAUCCUACGGGAAUCACAAAUCUCAACACAAGUAUUUCUACUAAUCCACAACUACCCACUAGCAUGACUCUAAUAUCACCAUCGUUAUAUCACAAAACUAUUGCAAGGAAUCAAACACAUCAUAUUCAGUGAUCUACAAGUUUUAUGUAGGAUUUUAUGACUAACCAUGUGAAUGACCAAUUCCUGUCAUCUCUCUAAAUAGAUAUAAGUGAAGCAAGAGAGUUUAAUUCUAUCUACAAAAUAUAUGCCAACGCUCUAACAAAUCUAAGUGAAGCAAAAGAGCAUUCUACAAAUGAAGGUUUUCUAUGUAAAGAGAAACAGGCAAUCCAUACUUCAAAUGAUAUAAGUGAAGCACAUGAAGCAUUCUAUAAAGCCAUACUCAAAAGAUAUAAGUGAAGUGAAAAGAGCAUUCUAUAAAUCAACCAAGGACUAUCUCAUACCAGCAUGGUGCAUAAAAGAAAAAUGAAAACUAAAUGCAAAAGACGCACCAAGAUUCCACAUAUCGCAUGAACGAAACGAAUCCGAAAACAUACCGAUACUUGUUGAAGAAAGAGGGGAUGCCUUCCGGGGCAUCCCCAAGCUUAGACGCUUGAGUCUCCUUAAAUAUUUACUUGGGGCGCCUCGGGAAUCCCCAAGCUUGAGCUCUUGCCUCUCUUCCUUCUUCUCACAUCGAGACCUUCUCGAUCAUCGAACACUUCAUCCACACAAAACUUCAACAGAAAACUCGGUAAGAUCCGUUAGUAUAAUAAAGCAAAUCACUACUCUAAGUAUUGUUGCAAACCAAUUCAUAUUUUGUUUUUUCAUUGUGUCUACUGUAAUAUAACUUUUUCAUGGCUUAAUCCACUAAUAUAAAUUGAUAGUUUCAUCAAAACAAGCAAACUAUGUAUCAAAAACAGAAUCUGUCUAAAACAGAACAGUCUGUAAUAAUCUGAACAUUCACCAUACUUCUGAUACUUGAAAAAUUCUACCAAAAUUAGGAAAAAUAAAAAACAAUUAUAGGAGGACAGAGCAAAAAGAAUCAGAUCCAUUUGACGUUCCAUCUAAACAUGUAAAAUCGCGCACUACAGCCAAAGUUUAUGUCCUGCACCGUACAGACCAUCAAGCAAAUGUAAACAUCCUAAAGGCAAACUUGGCACAUUGUUUUUAUUUUUAAACCUUAUAGAAGCACACAACAGAAAUAAAUGACUCUCCCAAACUUCCGGGUUGUCUCCUUGGCAGUGCUUUCUUUAAAGCCAUUAAGCUAGGCAUAUAGUGCUCAAGUAAUGGGCCCACCCGGAUCCUAAGGUAUAUCAAAGCCAAUUUUAAUUAACAAUGAUUUGUAAUUUAGUGGUGAGCACAAGGUAACACAUAUCAUGUAAUGAUGAAGUCUAACUCUCUUCCUAUGCAUCGGUGUCGGGUGGUAGGUGCGACAUAUGCCAACGGGUGGCUUAUCAUUGUGGGAGCCAGUAAAACAUCGCCGGUGCCUGGAAACGGGAUGAGGCGAACACCCCUACUGCUGCUCUGCGGGGUCUCCGCAUGAUCACUAGAUGAACAAGUAGCUACACGAUGCUCCUUGAGCUGUUUGUCGAGAGGAGGAAGAAGGGAUCUGCUUGCUCUCUUCUCCUCCCUAUGUGGUGUCUAAAACUAGCGGUGAUCAACCCUUUGCAUGGGUGUCCCGGGGGGUUUAUAUAGGCCUACCCCCCGGGGGUACAAUGGUAAUCUGGCUGGGCAUGGGGCCCAGCCGUCUGUGUCUUCGCUCUCCGGCUUCUGCGCCGGCUGCUGGGGCCCGCCGGCUGGUGGGUCCCACCGGCUACUGGCUCCUUGGUCGACAGGCAGGCCCCACUGUCCAGGGCCUUGUCGGUGGCUGGUUACUGUUGCUCAAACUUGGUGACGAGGGCUUCGCCGAGGUAAGUGUGGCUACAGUGCUGCCGUCCGGCAGGUGACCACUGUAGCCUCACCGCGUCUUGUCUCCUUAAUGGGGCAUCUCCUUCGAGGGGGUGGCAAGCCAGCUGGAGAGAGCCGGCUCUGUCUUGGGCCGACUGGGGGAGGCCAGGCCGCCUUCGGGGUGUCUCUCUUCCUGAAGGGGCCCACCGCCUGUGGGCCGUACUAGUAGCCCGUCGUGGAUGACAUCAGGGUCAACGUGGCAUCAGUGCGGCGCCGGACGGGUCAUGGCCACCCGUACGGCGCACUGUGCCAGGCGCGCUCCGGGAUUCGGGGGUGGCAGGCUUCACUGUAGCCACGCCCCGUCACAUCGCCGUUAUGUGGAUGCAGACUUCGAAGGUACGGUCUUAACCGCUUUAUGGGAGCCGGCUCAUUGGAGUCGGCCUUCUCGCAGCCGGCUCCUCGGAGCCGGCCCUCCCGCGGCUUUCUUCAUGAGGGCUGAAGUCGGGCCUCCUUCCAAUACCGGCCUGGGAGAUAGCCGGCCAGGGGAAGGCGGCCCCAUGUCUUGGGUUCUUGAGAGUCGGAUCGGCUCAUAAUUUUCUAAAAAAGGCCAGGGGGAGCCGGCUAGGCUACCCGUGGUCACUUACUCCGACAGUAGUCCCCGAAGCUGAGCGAGCUUCGAGGUUGAUAAAGGGACGAGAAGCUUGGUCAGCUUCCUAUCCUGAGGGGCCGGCUUUGCUUGUGCGCGCCGUCUUCGGAAAAGCUCCAUUUCUCGCAGGCGGGAACGCGGGCCACGUGGCGAGGAAAUCCUGCCCACGCACGCGUGCGACGGGACACCGCCACAGGCCCGGGCCCGCCACUCGUAGGCCUCGGUCCGAGCAUGGAUCUUCCGCGGCCCACAUGGACCGCUCGCCUUCCCGCGGCGGUUUUAUUUUGCCAUCAAGGCACAAUAAUCGCGGGACGUGGGGGAGUGGGCGCAGUUGAUCCCCACGUUUUGGGUCCCCCACGCCGCGCCUCCUCGGCUCCGCCGUGCGGUCUAUAAGUAGGAGGAGGGGGAGCGACAGAGGCUCGCGCACUCUCCCUCACUCCGCCCCUUCUCGCCCUCCUUCUUCUCUUCCCCGCAGCAGCUCUUUGCCGCGCCGUUCCACCGUCUCUUCGUUCCGCCGCUGCAUCGUCUUGCUUCUCGCUACGCUGCCCCAUGGCGCUGUCAAGAUCGUGGGAUGGCUCCAACGUCCAUGAGGACCACGUCGAGUUCCUCCGCCAGACGCGACGCCUGCCCGGCGAGGACUUCGUUCGGCUUCGUCUAGCGCCGGAGAAGGAGAUUUUGCCGGCACCGGAGGAGGGCGAGCGGGUGAUCUUCCGCUCACACUGCCUGCGCGGCUUCAGCCUUCCGGCGAGCGGGUUCCUCCGAGCCUUCCUCGAAUUCUACAACCUCCAGCCGCAUCACCUCACGCCCAACGCGGUGAUGCUGCUGUCGGCCUUCGUCAUGCUGUGCGAAGGCUUCCUUGGGGUCCUCCCCACGCUCGAGCUCUGGGCGGAAUUCUUCCAAAGCAAGCUCGGCACCAUCGUCGCGGGCGUGCCCGCCCCUUGCGGAGCCUUUAUUGCCAUGAGGCGGGCGAGCAAGAACAACCCGUUCCCGCCCAUCCCGCUGAUCCAGUCAGUGAAGCUCUAGCAGAAGUCAUACUUUUACGUGAAGAAUGUCGCGCACCAAGGCGACUACGUCAACCUGCCGGCUUAUGAAGCCGGCCCGCCGGCUGGGAGGCGACCCUCGUGGAGCUACCGGUCCAGGUCGUUGUCUCAAGCCGGGAACGCAGCCGUCUCCCGGCUUCGGGUGAUGAUCCAGUCGGAGGGCCUGACCGGAGCCGACUUGGUGGACGCCUUCGUGGAGCGCCGGGUUCUUCCCCUCCAAAGCCGGCCUCACAUGGUUUGUCAGAUGAGCGGCCGCUUCGACCCAAGCCGGCUGUGCACCAAGGAGAUGCCUCAUGCGGAGGUCACCUACAUGGUGAACUAUAUCUCCAACUGUAAGCUCGCCGAGGAUUGGCGAUACGGCAAGGGGUCGUACUCUCGCGCCAACCCUCCGCCCAUCGUAAGUUCUUUCUUCUUUUCUUCCUUUGGUAGCCGGCCUCAUGAUAGCCGACUCUUUGAUCAAUUGGUUUGCCUUUUGCAGAACCCUCUUCUCCCGCCGACAGCCGGGGCCAUGGGCUAGAGCGCCAGCUCCUCCUCGAUCGCACGGUGGACGAUGCCGACGAUCCGGACCUGGGAGCGGCCGCCAUGGAAGCCGCCAUCAUGGGGGAAGGCAACGAGGCCGGAGGCGUGGGGCUCACGGCCGGCUUCGAGGACUGGCCGGAUGAUGCCGAGGUCGAAGUCGCCCCGCGCCGCCAGCCGGCGCCUGAUCAUCAAGGCGCGAGCUCGUCCGCCGCGCCGGCUGCUGGCGGUGGCGCCCAGAAGCGCCGGGCUGUGUCGAUCCUCUUUGGCAGCCGGCCGAAGAAGUCCAAGGCUUCCACAGUGGCGACCAAGCGAGAUGAGGCGGCCGCGAAGGCGGCCCGCUUCCGCAAGGCGGUGAAGCAGCCGCAGGCGAUCUCAGCGUAAGUCGUCGAAUGCUUGGAUACAUAUUUUUUGUUGUUCUUCUUUUCGAUUGAAAACUCUUCUAAACCUUUCUUUGCUCGCUGGACAGGGCGCCGCUUUCCCUUGAGCGGGGUCCGUGCGGCUCCGUAGUUGGGCCGACUGGAGGGUCUUCAGUCUCCCGCCGCGUGGAUCCCCGCGCCGACCUCAGGGAGGCCACGGAGCGAAACGCACGAGAGGCGCGGGAGGAGCAGGAGGCGGCGGAGCGAAGGGCCGCCCAGGCGAUGAAGGAGUAGGCCGAUGCAGCAGCCAAGGCCCGGGCGGAGGCGGCAGCUGCGGAGAUGGAGGCGGAGGCUUCGCACAACCAGCCUCCGCUGCUAGCCAUUCCCCUCCGCGUCGUGGCCCCCAACAUUCAUGUGCCUCUGCUGGAGGAGGUCGACCAAGAACCGCCGGUGAUGGAACGGAGGGAGGACUCCGUGAUCUUUGUGGAGAGGGCGCUGCCGGCAGCGCCAACUGGAGCGGGCCAAGGCGGCCAGUCGGCUGCGGCACCAGAGCAUCCGGCUAGGGGUGAGCCAGAAGCAGGAGCCGGCCUCGAGGUGCAGCCGGCAAUGCACCGGCGCGCAGGGGGAGGCACCGCUGCGCCGGAGCCGCACCGAGCUACGGGUGCCAGCCAGACGGUGGAGGCCUUGGAGGCGGCCAGCACCGGAACGUCCGAGUGGACUCCCAGCGGCGGGACGGGCGAGCUGAAUGUGGUGGCCCAAGAGGUUCGGAACCGGCUUCAGGCCCAAGCCGCCUCGCUGCAGCAAUACACCCAGGAGUUCCUUGUGACACGGGCCGUCAUCCGGGUGAGUCUUCUAUUUUUGGUUGUUUUGUUCUCUUCAUUUUUUCCAUGGGGGCGCGUCAGCGCACCCACUGGGUGUAGUCCCCGAGAUUCGGACUGACAGCUGAGCAGUCGGAUCGGAUCUUCCUUGAUGAAUACCUUAUUCUCGCCUCCUGUCUAAUCUUCCAGGAGUAUCAUAACCUCCGCGCUGCCGCCUUCAACUCCCAGGCUCAGGAGCUGGGUCGGAGAACCGAAGACCUGAUCAGCAGUCGGAGUAUGUACUUGGUUUCGUUCAUCUCCUGUGGGCGCGUGUCAGCGCACCCACUGGGUGUAGUCCCCGAGAUUCGGGCCGACUGCUGAGCAGUCGGGUCGGAUCUUUCCUGACGACUUCACCUUACUGGUUUUUCUUUUGUCUUUCGUGCUUGCAGAAGCCAAUGCCGACUUGAGGGGACAGAUCAGCAAGGCGCAGGCCGCCCUUCGCGCCAAGGAAACCGAGUACGACGCCUUGGUCCUGGAGCGUGACCGCCUGGCCAAGAAGCUGGCUGACCAGGAGGAGAGCCACAAGGCGGCUCUGAAGAAGGCGCAGGAUAACGAAGCCGCCCUGAAGGCCGAGUUCGAGACUGAAGCAGCGGGCUGGGCUCAGACCAGGCAAGCGCUGAAUGAAGGCUUCGGCCGUAUUGAGGAUUUGAUCAACGUUAAGCCCCCUUCCUCGCUCCUUGCCUGCCCCUUGCCGCCUGACUUGAGUUCUGACUUGAGCUGCUUUUUAUUCUCUGUGCAGACUACUUUCCUGGCUACUCCGUCUUCGCCGCCCAAACCAUCGAGGCCCAUCGCGAAGCGCGCCGGCAGGCGGGGGCUGAAGUCGUGCCGAACGCGAGUCGGUCGCUCAAAGAGCAACUCUUGGCGGUCCAAGCGCGGCUGCAGCCGGCUCAUCGUAUGCUCCGCCGCCUCCAGCACGCCGGAGCGCAGGUGUUGGCCGCCCUCUAGCCAAGCGAGACGAUUCCCCGCACCCCGAGUCGGACUGCCGACUGACUGGAGGUUGCGGUUGGCCGCUUCGAGGCCUGCAAGGCGUCGGCGGCCCGUCUUGGAGCUGGGCGGGCGCUGGAGUUCGUCCGAGCUUGGUAUCCGGGGCUGAACCUGGACCAGCUGCGCACCUGGCGGCUGGAGGCCGACGAAGAGCUAGCGGAGGUGCGGCCGGCUAUCGCCCAGCGUGCAUCGACAAUCGCCGAGUGUACUGACAUUAGCAUCUUCACUCCCGAGAUUAAUGAUGACAGUGUUGCCCAGCCGGAGAAGGUUCGGGCUGGACCCGGCGGCGGGUGAAGACUCGGCAGAAGAGAUCGCCUCCAGCAACGAAGGCGAAGACGACGAGGGAGAGGAAAGCGAAGACGUCGAGCCGGCCGGUGGAACAGCCAGCUAGCCUCAGCCUGACCGUGCCUCCAGCAACGAGGUGCGCCCAAGCGCGCCUUCUGCGUGAGGCGGUGAUCAUGCCGAGGUUCGCCAGCCGGCCACUCCUCCAGUCGGCACUGCCGUCUCCACCGACCUGCCCGGCUCGUCAGUCGCUCCACCGGCUUAAUCUGCCGUCCUUGUUUUUUCCUGCUUAUUGCCUUCUGAACAAUUUUAUUAAGCUUCGGCAGUUCCACCCACUGGGGAUGUAUCCAAACAAUGUUGAAUGCUGGCCUUCUGAAGGUCUUUUAUGUAAAUAUUAUCAUGUGCAUGUUUGGUUUCCAUUCACGUAUGCUUUUUAUCCUUAGGCUGUUUCCUUUGCUGCCUUCCCCUUCUGGGAAGGCAAGUACUCGAGCUUUCUUAGAUUGGAGCGAAGUGAAUGGAAGCCGGCCGGUCGGCUACUCUGGUAGCCAGUCGGCGGUGGGAGAAAAACCGGCUUUUGUUAUAUUAGUCCGUUAGUCCCUAGCCGUUUUUCGUGUGGGCACCCGUUCCUGCCCUUAACUCUUGCCAGCCGGAUAGCCAGUUCUUCGAACUGCGACUUUUGGCAAGAGAAGGCUUGGGAGCCGGCACACUACUUGCCUGACUGCGGGUAGGACUUCUAAUAUAACUCCAGGCGGCCAGUCGCCGGGCCGACUAGUCGAACCCGGUGCCGGACAGAAAAAAGUGAAUGCAAUGACAAGGCCAUAAGCAUGAUACUUUUCAUUUAUAGACAAAAGAUGGCAGUCCCCGAGCUCUCCUCGGGGGCCCUAUUGUCUCAUACUUAGUAAAAAAGUUAGCGUGAUACAUACUGCAUUUCAGCUGUAAAACCUUCGGAGGAGGUUGGCGUUCCAUGGUCGUUCCGACUCCUUGCCGGAGUCGUCUCUCUUUCGUGCCUUCGGCUUCUGCGCAUCGAUCAGGUAGUAGGAGUCGUUGCCUAAGGCUCUGCUGAUGACGAAGGGGCCCUCCCAAGGGGCCGAGAGGUUGUGCUGGCCGGCUGUUCGCUGGAUCAGCCGGAGCACAAGAUCGCCCUCUUGGAAGGAUCUUGGCUUGACCUUCCGGCUCUGGUAGCGGCGCAGGCCCUGCUGAUAGAUGGCGGACCGGCUGAGGGCUAACAGCCGGCUUUCUUCUAGCAGGUCGACGUCGUCUUCUCAUGCUUCCUUGGCCACCGCUUCCGUGUACAAGGUUACUCGAGGCGAGUCAAACUCGAUGUGAGUUGGGAUGACCGCCUCGGCACCAUACACGAGGAAGAAAGGGGUGAAGCCGGUUGACUUGUUUGGUGUAGUGCGCAGACUCCAGAGGACAGCCGGCAGCUCAUCGAGCCAACAGCCGGCUGAACGCUCCAGUGGUACGAUCAGUCGGGGCUUGAUGCCGGAAAGGAUGAGGCCAUUGGCUCGCUCGACCUGGCCGUUUGACUGCGGGUGGGCGACGGAUGCUAGAUCCAACCAGAUGCCUUGCGUCACGCAGAAAUGUGCCAAGGCUCCCUUGGCGAAAUUUGUGCCAUUGUCGGUGAUGAUGCUGUGUGGCACGCCGUACCGAGUUGUUAUAUCUGUGAUAAAUGUGACGGCAGUCGGCCCAUUCAGCUUCUUGAUCGGCUUUGCUUCAAUCCAUUUGGUGAAUUUGUCCACGGCGACAAGCAGAUGUGUCAUGCCGCCGCGCGCUGUCUUGAAUGGGCCCACCAUGUUCAUUCCCCAAAUGGCGAAGGGCCAAGUGAGGGGAAUGGUCUUGAGUGCUAAAGCCGGCAUGUGUUGCUUGGAGCUGAAGAGUUGGCACCCUUUGCAAUGUUUAACUAACUCCUUGGCGUCAUCCAAAGUAGUCGGCCAAAAGAAACCAUGGCGGAAGGCUUUGGCGACGAGUGAUCUUGAGGCCGCAUGGUGGCCGCAUUCUCCUUGGUGGAUGUCUUUGAGGAUUGCAAUGCCCUUCUCUUGCUCGACGCAUCGCUGGAGGACUCCAGUGAUACUGCGCUUGACGAGCUCUCUGUUGACGAUUGUGUAUGCUCCGGCUCGGCAUUGGACUUGUCUUGCCUCUACUUCGUCAGCCGGCAGAUCUUGGUUUAUUAGGAAGUUGAGGAUGGAUUGAGCCCAUGACGGAGCUGCGACUUCUUCUAUUGCCAAAACGGCUACUGCGACCAGGGCGGGCGGGCUGGGCGGUGAAAUGCUGGAGUCAGCCGCCGCCUGUUGUGUUGGUAUAGUCUCCGGGCCGACUACCGUAGUCCCCGAGCCGGGUGAAGCAGUCCCCAAGUCGGGCGUAACUACGGAAGUCCCCGAGCUGCCUGCUGAUACCCCCUGGCCGACUAUCGAAGUCCCUGGGCCACCUGCUUGGUUCUUCGAGCCGGACCCGGCCGCAUCGGGGUCAGGCGGCACGAAGAUGGAAUCGGACUCUGGAGACGGCUUGAUAGACGGCUUGGGGAGGCGUUGUAGAGAGACGCCGGUUGUAUUGCUUGCCGGGUGGAGCCUAUUCGAGCCAGAGCAUCAGCUGGCUCAUUGUCGGCUCACGGUACGUGGAGGAACUCGCAUCCUUCAAAAUACCCACUGAUCUGCUGAACGAGGAAGCGGUAGCUUGCCAUAUUUGCGUCCUUGGCAUCCCAGUCGCCGGAUGAUUGCUGGACCACCAAGUCCGAGUCGCCAUAACAUAGGAUCCGGCGAAUGCCGAGUUCUUUGGCAAGCCGGAGCCCGUGUAUGAGCGCCUCGUACUCGGCCACGUUGUUGGAGGCGGCAAAGUGGAUUUGCAGCAUGUAUCUGAGCUUGUCGCCUUUGGGAGAGGUGAGGACGAUGCCGGCUCCCAAGCCGGUGCGCAUCUUGGACCCACCGAAGUGCAUGCGCCAAUGAGUGGAGUCGGGAGCCGGCGGCAGGUACUGGGUCUCAGCCCAGUCGAUGAGGAAGUCGGCCAAUGCUUGGGAUUUGAUGGCGGUGCGAGGCUGGUAGAAGAUCGCGUAAGGGGCCAGCUCGAUGGCCCAUUUCGCCACCCGGCCGGAUGCAUCCCGGCUGCCUAUGAUCUCGGCCAGCAGGGCGGUGCAUACAACCAUGAUGGGAUGCUCUUGGAAAUAGGGCUUCAGCUUCUUGGCGGCGAAGUACACGCCGUAGCACAUCUUCUGGUAGUGCGGGUAGUUCUGCUUCGAGGUAGACAAUACCUCGCUCAAAUAGUACACCGGCCUCUGGACCGGCUGGGCUCGGUCUUCUUCUGGGCGUUGGACUACGAUGACGGUGCUGACCACCCGGCUGGUUGAGGCAAUGUAGAGGAGCAUGGGCUCUUUCUCAGUCGGCGCCGCCAGGACUGGCGGUGUGGCCAGCAUAUUCUUCAGCUCGUGGAAAGCUUGGUCAGCUUCGUCAUUCCACUCGAAGUGAGUGGUCUUCUUCAUGAGGUGGUAGAGGGGGAGAGCUUUCUCUCCGAGCUGGCUGAUGAAGCAGUUUAGGGAGGCCAAGCACCCGGUGAACUUCUGGAUGUCUCGAAGCUUGGUGGGAAUCGCCAUUCUCUCAAUGGCCUUGAUCUUUACUGGGUUGCAUUCGAUGCCACGUUCGGAGACCAGGAAGCCUAGGAGCUAGCCUGCUGGUACUCCGAACACGCAUUUCUCGGGGUUAAGCUUGAUUUGGAACCGGCGUAGGUUCUCAAAUGUUUCCUUGAGGUCUUCCAGCAAGGUGCCGCGCUUCUCCGUCUUCACCACAAUGUCGUCUACGUAGACGUGGGCAUUUCUGCCGAGUUGCUUGAGGAGGCACUUCUGCAUGCAACGCUGAAAAGUGGCACCGGCAUUUCUCAAGCCGAAUGUCAUAGUCAGGUAGCAGAAGGCUCCGAAUGGCGUGAUGAAGGCGGUCUUCAGGCGGUCUGCCGGAUCGAACUUUAUCUGGUGAUACCCCGAGUAAGCAUCCAAGAAAGUCAACAACUCGCAUCCGGCCGUGGAGUCUAUCACUUGGUCAAUCCUUGGCAGGGCAAAUCGAUCUUUGGGGCAGGCCUUGUUGAGGCUCGUGUAGUCUAUACACAUGCGCCACUUGUUGUUCUUUUUUAGCACGAGGACCGGGUUGGCGAGCCACUCUGGAAAGAAAACUUCCAUAAUGAAGCCGGCUGCCAGAAGCCGGGCUAUCUCCUCUCCCACAAUCCGGCAUUUCUCCUCCGACAGUCGGCGGAGGGGUUGUUUGACUGGCUUUGCGUCUUCUCGGACGUGUAGUUUGUGCUCGGCGAAUUCCUUCGGAACGCCUGGCAUGUCCUUGAGGGACCAUGCAAAGAUGUAUGGAGGAAAUCAGCGAGCUCGCCUUCCUAUUUGCUAUUUAGGUUUGCCCCGAUGACGGCAAACCUCUCUGGGUGCUCGGGGUCAAGAGGUAUCUUCUUCGUCUCCUUGGCCAGCUGGAAAAAUCCUUGAGCAUCAUGCUCCUUGGGAUCGGGGGACAAGGCCGACUGCUUGCCGGCUAUGGCCAUGACUCGGUCCAACAUCUUCUUUUCUUCGGCAAUCACAAGGGACUCGGCCAGCCGGCUGCUGGCUGCUGCACACUUAGAGGACUUCUUGUAAUCGCCGGCUACGGUGAUGACGCCUUUGGUGCUUGGUAUCUUCAUCUUGAGCUAUGCAUAGUGGGGAACUGCCAUGAAUUUGGCCAAGGCAGGUCCGCCAAGCAAUGCAUGGUAAGGGCUCUCCAGGUCCACCACUUCAAACCAGAUCGCUUCCCGGCGGAAAUGCUCCUUGUCCCCAAAAAGUACAUCAAUCUUGAUCUUGCCAAUGGGGGCGCAGGACAGGCCGGGUAUGAUGCCAUGGAACACUGUCCGAGUAGGCAUGAGUUGCUUUGUCUUGACGUUCUGCUUCUCCAGCGUGUCGCGGUACAAGAUAUUGAUGCUGCUCCCGUCGUCUAUCAACACACGGGAGAAGCUGGCGGCGCGUCUGUCCGUUGCAAGGGUGGCAUCCAGAACCAAUGCAUAAGAGUCGGGAGAUGGCAUCACCUCUGGGUGGUCGGCCCGGCUCCAACUGAUAGGUUUUUCUAACCAGUGCAUGUGCUCGGCGGGGUUGGCAGCAACCAUGCUGACUUCCUGGUUCUCUCGGCGUUUGCUGCGCCGGUCUUCGGGCUGGCUUGUAAAGACGAUAUAGGCGGCAUGCUCGUCGGGGAACUCAUCGUGCACGGCUCCGACUGCGGGCCGAGCGGCCGGCGGUAGCGGAACCGGAGGCGGUGGGCCGGCAGGCGGAGGCGGCGUGAGCCCUUCACCUUUGGAGAUUCGGUUGAGCCAAUGGCACUUCCGAGUUGUGUGGUUGGACGGCUUCGCGCCGUUGUGGAACUUGCACGGGGCGUCGAGAGUUUGCUCGUAGGAGAAGGCCGGCUGCCAAGCCGGCCUGCCGCCCUUGGGUUUCUUGGGCGCGGGCCGCCCUUCAGGCGGCACGUCUUCGACUGUGGCCACCUACCGACUGGCCGGAGGCGGCGCGGGGCCCUUGCGCUUGUAGUCGUUCGAGUGUGGGCGUCGGCCGGAAUCCCCAGCCGGCGUCUUGGGCGCCGGGUUGAGUACUUUUCUAGACGCGUCUACCCGGAGCUCGGUCUUCAUUGAGGAGUCGGCGGUGGCGUACUUGUCCGCUAUGUCCAGAAGCUCGUCGAGGGUAGUCGGCUCGUCGCAGAGAAGCUUGUGCUUGAGGAGGGUGCCUUCUCGGCACCCGGCUGUGAAGUAUUCUAUGGCUUGCACCUCGUGCACCCCUUCGCAAGAGUUGCGGAGCUCGGCCCAACGCGUGAGGUAGUCGCGAGUUGACUCGGCGGGGCCUUGUACGCACAAGGAGAGCUGUCUGGGCUUGGGAGCCCGCUUGUAGGUGCUGGUGAAGUUGCGGACGAAAGCUUCCGUGAAAUCUAGCCAGCUGUUGAUGCUGCGUGGUUUGAGGCUGUUGAGCCAGGUCCGCGCCGUGCCUUGCAGCAUGAGGGGCACGCACUUCACGGCAACGCGCCGGUUGCCGUUGGCUAUGCUAACCGCCGUGGAGUAGUCGAUCAACCAAUCUUCCGGCUUCACGGAGCCGUUGUACUUGGGCGUGUCUCUUGGGAGCGAGAACCCUUUGGGGAAGGGCUCGUCACGGAUGCGGGGGCCGAAGCAAGGCGGACCGACAUCAUCUUCUUCUUCCAGCGCUAGGGAUCGCGCCAGGCGGUCAAUCUGAUGGCGGGCGUCAUUUUCGCCGACUCCUUCGCGGCGACCUAGUCGGCCGCUGAGAGUCGGAUGCACCACAGGCGGAGGGGUGGGAUAUCUCUCUCCAUGGGGCCGAGGCGGAGGCGGGUUUCCCCGCCACUCCACGGCCCGAGGGUGGCCGUCUGUGUCUCGCUCGAUGGAGAUCCGGGUUUGGCUUUGGCUGGCAGCCGGCUCUUUCUCACGCUGUGCGCGGUCUCUACCCGCAGUCGGCGUCUGGGACGUCGCGCCGUGAUCUCGGCGCGGGGGAGGGCUUUCCGCGCGGGCGUCGGCUUCGUGCUGCUGCGCGGCUGCAUCGAUCAGCUGCUGGAUGCGUCGGGUCAUGUGGGGGAGCUCUUCGGCCCCCAGUCCGUCUAGCUCGUCUACGGCCGCCUGGGCAGCGCGCAGUUUCUCGAGUGGAGUGGCGUAGACUGGACGGUCGACUCCUAACGUGUCGGCAACGAAAGCGUCGCGCUGUCUGACAACGCCGACCCGGCUGGGCCCGCCUAGGGGCGGCGUGCCAAAGGCGGCGCGGUCGGCCUCGCGUCGGUGGGCCUCAGCGAGGCGUCUCAUGGAAACCAACUUCCGGCCCUCCGCGAGGACGGCGAGGCGGCGACCCUCCAGUGCUUCAGCGUCAGCGUCGGCUGGGAGAGGGAUGGACAAGUCAUGGACCGCCGCGUGCGGGGCGUCGUGGGCGCUCUCGUUAGCAGCGCCGCCGUGGCCGAUGACCAUCACCUCGGUGGUGACAGCAUCACAGCCAUCGGCUUGGGGAAGCGGGUCGUUGUAGAUCGUGGCGUUGGUGGGGAAGGUGUCGAAUGAGGCCGUGUCGGAGUCGACAGGCAUCGGAUCGGUGGAGCCAACCGACUCCAAGUCCAUAGUAGGCUCGCCUGAUACAUGGAGCCGGCCGAGGAGGUUGACGAGGUGGUCGGUGCCCGCGUCGGAGGCGAGCUCGUCGGAGAUGAGGGUCUUGUCGAGGAGAUCAGAGAGGCUGCUCGCCGCGCAGGCGUUGGUAACGCCUUGCAGCGCGUCGUGGCAAGCGCCAUCGGGCGUGCCGGGCUGGCUACGCUCGCGGGGGAGGAAGAGGGUUCCCGUCCAGAACAGGUCUCCGGAAGACGGUGCGCCUGGCCCCAUGGUGGGCGCCAAACGUCAGGUGGUAGGUACGACAUAUGCCAACAGGUGGCUUAUCAUUGUGGGAGCCAGUAAAACAUCGCCGGUGCCUGGAAACGGGAUGAGGCGAAGACAUGCAUGCCGGCGAAUCUUACCCAGCUUCGGGGCUCUCCGUGGAGAUAACACCCCUACUGCUGCUCUGCGGGGUCUCCGCAUGAUCACUAGAUGAACAAGUAGCUACACUAUGCUCCUUGAGUUGUUUGGCGAGAGGAGGAAGAAGGGCUCUGCUUGCUCUGUUCUCCUCCCUACGCGGUGUCUAAAACUAGCGGGGAUCAACCCUUUGCAUGGGUGUCCCGGGGGUUUAUAUAGGCCUACCCCCCGGGGGUACAAUGGUAAUCUGGCUGGGCGUGGGACCCAGCCGUCUGUGUCUUCGCUCUCCGGCUUCUGCGCCGGCUUCUGGGGCUCGCGGGCUGCUGGGUCCCGCCGGCUACCGGCUCCUUGGUCGACAGGCAGGCCCCACUGUCCAGGGCCUUGUCGGUGGCUGGUUACGGUUGCUCAAUCUUGGUGACGAGGGCUUCGCCGAGGUAAGCGUGGCUACAGUGCUGCCGUCCGGCGGGUGACCACUGUAGCCUCACCGCGUCUUGUCUCCUUAAUGGGGCGUCUCCUUCGAGGGGGUGGCAGGCCGGCUGGAGAGAGCCGGCUCCGUCUUGGGCCGACUGGGGGAGGCCAGGCCUCCUUUGGGGUGUCUCUCUGCCCGAAGGGGCCCACUGCCCGUGGGCUGUACUGGUAGCCUGUCGUGGAUGACAUCAGGGUCAACGUGGCAUCAGUGCUGCGCCGGACGGGUCAUGGCCACCCGUACGGCGCACUGUGCCAGGCGCGCUCCGGGAUUCAGGGGUGGCAGGCUUCACUGUAGCCACGCCCCAUCACAUCACCGUUAUGUGGAUGCAGACUUCGAGGGUACGGUCUUAACCGCUUUAUGGGAGGCGGCUCCUUGGAGUCGGCCUGCUCGCAGCCGGCUCCUCGGAGCCGGCCCUCCCGCAGCUUUCUUCAUGAGGGCUGAAGUCGGGCUGCCUUCCAAUAGCCGGCCUGGGAGAUAGCCGGCCAGGGGAAGGCGGCCCCAUGUCUUGGGUUCUUGAGAUCCGGAUCGGCUCAUAAUUUUCUCAGAAAGGCCAGGGGGAGCCAGCUAGGCUACCCGUGGUCACUUACUCCGACAAUCGGCAUGUCAUAGAAGAACAAUUCAUGCACACAUAGUAAAGGCCAAUGCAUAGUAUAAACAGUUUCUUGCAAUUUUAUCAUAUUGGAAACAUAGAGAGGUGGAGAUAUAGUUCCUCUCUCAUAAUAAUUGCAAGUAGGAGCAGCAAGCACAUGCAUAUUAUAUUCAUCAAAAUCAUCAUGUGCAACGGUAAAAGGCAACCCAUAAAUAUAAUCCUUAAUAAGGGCAAACUUCUCCGAUAUAGUGUAGUCGGGAGAAUUCAAAAAGAUAAUAGGACUAUCAUGCGUGGGUGCAAUAGCAACAAUUUCAUGUUUAACAUAAGGAACUAUAGCAAGUUCAUCUCCAUAAGCAUAAUUCAUAUUGGCAUCUUGGCCACAAGCAUAGCAAGUAUCAUCAAAAAGGGAUAUUUCAAGAGAAUAACGGGAUCAUAACAAUCAUCACAACAAUCAUCCUUCGGUAAGCAUGAAGGGAAAUUAAACAAUGUAUGAGUUGAAGAGUUACUCUCAUUAGAAGGUGGGCACGGGUAGCUAAUCCGCUCUUCCUCCUUUUGUUCUCCGCUCUCCUCCUCAUCUUUUUCAUCCAAUGAGCUCACAGUUUCAUCAAAUUCUUCUUCCAUAGACUCCUGCAAAAUAUUAGUCUCUUCUUGGACAUCGGGGUAGUCCUCAAUAUAUGGUUCAACAUAGGCAUUAGAAGCAUAAUUAUCAUAGCAAUAUUUAAGUAUGUCAAAAUUUUCAGAUUUGUAAAGACUAGCAUCAUACUUUUCAAUCAAAGAAGCAAUUUCAUAAGCACCCUUGAAAGCAACAAAUUCUUCAAUUUGUUGAACAUCAUAGUAAUUAUAAAUACCAUUAGCAUACGAAGAUACGAUUCCAUUAUCACUAAACUCACAUUGAUAGGCAAGGUGUUUCUUAGGGUUUUCAGAACAACAAGUAAAAUCAUAUAUUUCACAUAAAUUCCAAGCAUAGCAUUGCAAACGAUGAAUUUGACCCAGUAAAAUUUUCCCUUUUUCAGAUAUUCGGUGUCGCACAUAACAAGCAUGUUCAUCUAAGGAUUUGCCCUCAACUAAGCUAGUUGGGGUUUCAGCACAAGCACAUAGAGAUCGAAGAUGAUCCACGUAAUAAGCUUCAGCAGUGUGAUAGAUUUUGAGUGGUUCUUCAACCAUUAGUUCAGUAGGUACAACUAAUUUUUUUGGUAUUUUGCGUUUCCUACCCAUAACUGAAGAUAGAAAACAACUAAGAACAGCAAGUAAAAAUUAGUUAGUGAUAAAGCAAACAAGCACACACGAGAAUAUUCACCCACGCUAUUGCUCCCCGGCAACGGCGCCAGAAAAAGGUCUUGAUAACCCACAAGUAUAGGGGAUCGCGACAGUUUUCGAUAAGUAAGAGUGUCGAACCCAACGAGGAGCUAAAGGUAGAACAAAUAUUCCCUCAAGUUCUAUCGACCACCGAUACAACUCUACGCACGCUUGACGUUCACUUUACCUAGAACAAGUAUGAAACUAGAAGUACUUUGUAGGUGUUGUUGGAUAGGUUUGCAAGAUAAUAAAGAUUUACGUAAAUAAAAAGUAGGGGCUGUUUAAGUAAAGACACAAUAAAGUAAAUAUAGCGAGUGUGGAAAAGUGAUGGUAGGAGUUGUGAAAUUGCCCUAAGCAAUUGACUACUUUACUAGACCGAUAGCAAGUAUUAUGUGGGAGUGGCCACUGCUAGCAUGUCAUCCCUGACUUGGAAUUCUAUGCACUUAUGAUUGGAACUAUUAGCAAGCAUCCGCAACUACUAAUGUUCAUUAAGGUAAAACCCAACCAUAGCAUUAAGGUAUAUUGGUCCCCCUUCAAUCCCGUAUGCAUCAAUUUCUAUGCUAGGUUGAAGCUUCUGUCACUCUUGCCCUCCAAUACAUAGUCCUAUCAACAUACAACUAACCCUAGGGUGUGAUCCACGCGCGCAAUCAUAUGAUGGGCACCAAAGGACAGCAACAUAACCACAAGCAAAUUAAAUCAAUCAUAGCAAUUCAUCAACCACCGAUAGGACAACAAAAAUCUACUCAGACAUCAUACGAUGGCAACACACCAUUGGAUAAUAAUAUGAAGCAUAAAGCACCAUGUUCAAGUAGAGGGUAGAGCGGGUUGCGGGAGAGUGGACCGCUGUAGAUAGAGGGGGAGGUGAUGGAGAUGUUGGUGAAGAUGCGGAGGUGUUGGUGUAGAUCGCGGUGAUGAUGAUGGCCCUCGGUGGCGUUCCGGCGCCACCGGAAGCGAGGGGGAGAGAGCCACCCUCCCUCUUCUUCUUCCUUGACCUUCUCCCUAGAUGGGAGAAGGGUUUCCCCUCUGGUCCAUGGUCUCCAUGGCGUGGGAGGGGCGAGAGCCCCUCCGAGAUUGGAUCUGUCUCUCUGUCUCUCUGUGUUUCUGCGUUCCGUUCUGCUGCCCUUUCACCUUUUCGGGUAUAUAUGGAGACCCGUAACUCCGAUUGGGUCGAAACCUUCACCAUGAUUUUUUUCCAAAAAUUAGCUUUCUUGUGGCCGAAGAAGGGCAUCAACUGCCUUACGUGUGGCCCACGAGGGUCAAGGGCGCGCCCCCCUGCCUCAUGGCCAUCUCGGGCACCGUCUCGCGUGGAUUUUUCUUCCGAAAUUUUCCAAAUAUUCCAAAAAUAAGCUCCGUCCAUUUUUAUCCCGUUUGGAUUCCGUUUGAUAUGGAUAUUCUGCGAAACCAAAAACAUGCAACAGACAGGAACUGGCACUGGGCACUGGAUCAAUAUGUUACUCCAAAAAUAGUAUAAAAAGUUGUCAAAAGUAUAUGAAAGUUGUAGAAUAUUGGCAUGGAACAAUAAAAAAUUAUAGAUACGACGGAGAUGUAUUAGAGAUGUAUCACACGGCCUCCUCAGCACACCGACAAGUUGGCACCACCUGUGCAAAAACCCGACAUAGCUUCAAAGCAUGGUCAGCAGUCCGAUGCCUCUGCUCCUAUAGCCCAGCAGCACCGCCAGCUCAGCGGUCCGGCAUAGAUAAACCAUCUGCUAAGCAGUUCGUCCAAGCUUCACUGUUUGCUCGGCAGUCUACCUUGCAGGCAACCAGACGUUCUGCCAGAAAUGCUUCAAGUACCGGGAAGGAAGUGGCCAAAAAGGCUACACCCCGAGAAAGCGCGAGGGGAAAGUGAAGAGGAAAGAGAACGAUUGCCUCUUACUUAAAGCACUCAUCGCCCAGAACCAAAUUAACAACAGCUUGCUCGAAUCGGGGACUAAUAUUAUUUCUGACACCAUGGAUGAUGAAGAAGUAAGUUUGUUGCUUGCUAAAAGUAAAGCAAGCAUACUUGAAGCACGCAAUUACGUCCAUGGCCAGCCAUUUCUUGUUGGCGAAUACUUUGAUGAGUGCAGCUCCAGUUGCCACGAGUUACAUGAAUAUUGCAUGGAUCUAAUGUCAGCAGGUCAGCAUGGUUUGCUAGUCGACUACAACAAAGAUCAUUUCCGACACAUUGUUGGUUCCAUCGUUGUAGACUUACAUGUCUUCUUCAAAUUCAACGUGCUCGAUGCCACUCUUCUUAGAUGCAUGAUUUUGUAAGUACUUAACAAACUCUGAUCAACUUCUCUAUACAAGGCUGUAAAUGAUAAACAGCUAACUGCAUUUUAUUCCUCUCAGGGGAUUGAACGCGCAGAGAAGAAAUAGGGAGAGUGUGUAUUUCAUAGAUCCUGAAUUAGCAAAUGGCACAACAAAACAUGGUAAGGACCUACAGGACUAGGCCAUUAACACAGUCGUCCGUAUCUUCAAAAACACGUCCCAUCCAAAAUCAUUUCUCUGGCCAUAUCAUCAACGGUAAGUCAAGUAAACAACCAUGCAUACACUUAUUGUAUUUCAGAUUUCGACAUAAUUCGUAAGUUCAUGGCUUUCUUAAUAUGUAGCAAUCACUGGAUAUUGGUAUUCAUUGUUCCAAACAAGAACACAGUUUACUACAUCGAUUCUCUUAGAGAGUCAACAAACACUCAGGAUCUGACGCAUCUUCAGCAAUUCAUGGAUAGGUAUUGAAUUCUAUGAUGUUGAAAUUAAUUUGCAGUCAUAUCUGGUUCAAUAAUUGAUGUUGUCAAAAUUCAUCAUCAUUUGCAGUGUGCUCGCAUGUGGAAAACUAAACCAGGGAACCUGUUCAAGAGGGGACUACCUCUGCAGCACGAGAUCGUUUCUCCGGUAACACACCGAAAUCUGUUAUUUUCGAAAAAUUUAUCCAACAGUCUACAAAUACCUUUCCUUAUGCUAGUCAAAUGUUCAAGCUUCUAAAUAAACCUCUUUCUAUUUUGUCCACAAAAAAAUAAUACAUCUAACACCGGUUAGGUUGUUCCUAACAAGACAAAUACAUGACUAACUCUGUACAAAAAAUCAGUGUCCUCAGCAAGAAGCAGGGACCAACCUUUGUGGAUACUAUGUUUGCAGACACAUGAUCUCCAUCUGCAAAUCUGCUGAUAGUUGUGACGAUCCUUGUGAAUUAGUACCAGUAAGUCUAUCUUAAUUAUAUCUUCUACUCCACUCAUAUGGCACAUUGUGAUCUUAAAAAUACUGCAGCUCAUCUUAAAACCGAGGACCCCUGAACCGCUCCCGGCUGGUGAAUUGUUGAUGGUUCGGAGAUUUAUCAGCGACUUCUUCCUGGAUCACUACAUCAAUCCCACUUGUGAUAAUGAAGAUUUCAGCAUGCCUUCUCUUGAAACAUUGAGUAAGAGUUAGCCGCUAAACAUAUACGCAUGGAUACAUUGUUUUCCAUUUGAUCAGGUCUUCAUAUUUCCUACACUAUGAUUAAUUAUGUAAUGCACAUAUGUGUGGACAAAUAAUUGGAAUUUAGCUACCAUAUGUUCAAUUGCAAUUGUUGCGAAAAUCUGAUGAAUGUUCUUCCUGUGGACACUAUCAAUUGAAUAUUAUGGCAAAUUUGCUUUUUGCGUGCCGAUUCAAAAUUUGAUAUUUUUGCUUACUUGUUCAAUUAAAUAUUGUGGUGAAUUUUAUUUUUGUGUGCCGAUUCAAAAUGUGAUAUUUUUAUUUAUUUGUUCAAUUGAAUAUUGUGGCGAAUUUGCUUUUUGCAUGCCGAUUCAAAAUGGGAUAUUUUUGUUUUAACCUGGCAAUUGCUCCGCACAUAGUUCAACUAAAUGAGUGUGUACGACCAACAUCGGAAAGCAUACGUCAAUCAUAGCGGAACUGUCGGUGAUACACAGCAGAUCGCAAAUGAUUUGUAGCGCUACUACGUGUGUGUAGGGUCUCCGGAACCGUUUGUGAUAUCGUGUUAUCGCACACGAGUACUCAGAGUAAACCGUGCCCAAUGUAAAAUACAACCCCAGUCGUAAUUUUUCAGGAAACGUGCGGGAUCCCAAACGAAAAGCACACGUUACUCUUGCGGCAACCGUCGGUGAUACCCAACAAAUCACAAACGGUCUGCAGCACUUGUAUAUGUGUGUGAAGGGGCUCCUGAACCGUUUGUGAUAGAACAUCAUCACAGACGGUAAUUGUUGGGAAACGUGUGUGAUGGAGUCUUGCAUGGCAGACGGGUUACGCAGAAAACUCGUGUGCGAUGGGGCACAAAUCGCACACAGUUCAUAUGUUAGACCGUGUGCCUUACAUACUGUUUCCCAAACGGUUCAUUACGACAGACUAUAUGGUUUCACUGCGUCAUUAGAAACGUUUAAUCACCGAUACCACACGUGCGAAAGAAUUUAGUGUGUGUUGCGCAUCACACAUGAUUACAUUUUGGAAGGCCUAUGGAUCAUUGCUCCAUAUCCCCGACAGUUUCUGGGUCGUGUGGGAAGGACACCCUAUCACCCACACUCACUUGGCGACAAUCCCAAAUGCCGUCGCGGAAAGGGGUUAAAAACCGUUUGUAUAGCACCGGCGCACACCAAUGGCAAAAAUAGGUUCUAAUUUAAUUUGUUCAGCAGGUUUAGGUGCUCUAAUAUUACUUUUGCGAACCACGGCUGAAACCUUAGCAUGUUCCUUUAUCCUAACAGGAAAAGGUGGUUUUUCAAUAUAAGCAGUAGGAAAAACUGGAUCAACAUUGUAAAUAACAGUUUCUUCUUUAGCUAUAACCGGUUCUUUAAUUUAUUCUUUAAUAGGUGGGUGAUAUUUGAACCACUUCUCCUUAGGGAGAUCAACAUGAGUAGCAAAUUAUUCACAAAAAGAGGCUACUAUCUCAGAGUUAAGUCCAAAUUUAGUGCUAAACUUUUGAAAAGCAUCGGUAUUCAUAAAAGAUUUAACACAAUCAUACUUAAGCUCAAUACCUGACUAUUUACCUUCGUCGAGUUCCCAAUCUUCAGAGUUGCAUUUAAUUCUUUCCAAAAUAUCCCACCAGAAUUCAAUAGUAUUCUUCAUAAAAGAACUAGCACAAGAAGUAUCAAGCAUGGAUCGAUCAUUAUGUGAAAGCCGAGCAUAAAAAUUCUGGAUAAUAAUUUCUCUUGAGAGCUCAUGAUUGGGGCAUGAAUAUAACAUUGAGUUAAGCCUCUCCCCCAAGCUAGAGCAAUACUUUCUCCUUCACAAGGCCAAAAAUUAUAUAUGUAAUCCCGAUCACGAUGAACUAGAUGCAUAGGAAAUUUUUUUGGUGAAACUCCGAUUUCAAUCGAUUCCAAAUCCAAGAUCCAAUGUCAUCGCAUAGCCUAUACCAUGCCAAUGAUUUUCCCUCAAAAGAUAAAGGGAAACCCUUAUUAUUAACUUCAUCUCCGGGUAAACUUGCAAGCUUAAACAAUCCACAAAUUUGUUCCACAUAUAUCAAGUCCAUAUCAGGAUGUUCAGUUCCAUCUCCUGCAUAAGGAUUAGCUAGUAGUUGUUCUAUCAUACCCGAAGGAAUUUCAUAUUCAAUAUUUUCAGUAGGUGCAGUAGGUUGAGGGGUAGCUAAUUGUGGUUCCAGUUGAGGUGAAGAUACCCUGAACAAACCCCUCAAAGGAUGAUUCUCCAUAGUAACAAGUGACAAUAAAUUUCAGCACUUAGUAAUAAUUUUUCCUUACCAAUUUCCACUUACCAAGAGUGCUUCACUCCCCAGCAAUGGUGCCAGAAAAGAGCCUUGAUGACCCACAAAUAUAGGGGAUCAAUCUGAUUCCUUUCGAUAAGUAAGAGUGUUGAACCCAACGAGGAGCAGAAGGAAAUGACAACUGGUUUUCAGCAAGGUAUUUUCUGCAAGCACUGAAAUAGUAGGUAACAAAUAGUUUGAUACCAAGAUAAUUUGUAACGAGCAAGUAACGGUAACGGUAAAUAAUGUGCAGAAAGGUAGCCCAAUCCUUUUGUGGAAAAGGACAGGCCAAAACUGUCUCUUAUGAUAAGCAAAGCGUUCUUGAGGGUACACAGGAAUUUUAUCAUAUCACUUUCAUGAUGUUUGUUUGAUUCGUGUUUGCUACAUUGAUAAUUUGAUAUGUGGGUGGACCGGUGCUUAGGUGAUGUUCUUACUUGAACAAACCUCCUACUUAUGAUUAACCCCCUCGCAAGCAUUGACAACUACGAGAAAAGUAUUAAGAUAAAAAAUCUAACCAUAGCAUCAAACUUUUGGAUCCAAAUCAGUCCCUUACGAAAUAGCGCAUAAACUAGGAUUUAAGUUUUUGACACUCUAGCAACCCAUCAUCUAAUAACUACUCCACAAUGCAUGCCCUUAGGCCGAAAUAUGGUGAAGUGCCAUGUAGUCAAUGUUCACAUGACACCACUAAGGGAAUCACAACAUACAUAUCAUCAAAAUAUCGAACACAUAUCAAGUUCAGAUGAUUACAUGCAACAUGACUUCUCCCGUGACCUCAAGAACAAAAGUAAAUACUCACAAAUAAUAAUCAUGCUCAAGAUCAAAGGGGUAUUAAAUAGCAUAACCGGUCUGAACAUAUAAUCUUCCACUAAAUAAACCACAUAGUAAUCAACUACAAGAUGUAAUCAACACUACUAGUCACUCACAAGUACCAAUCUAAGGUUCCGGUACAAAGAUUGAACACAAUAGAUGAAUUAGGGUUUGAGAGGAGAUGGUGUUGUUGAAGAUGUUGAUGGUGAUGGCCCUCCCAAAGUUGGGAGAGUUGUUGGUGAUGACGAUGGCAAUGAUUUCCCCCUCCGGGAGAGAAGUUCCCCUGGCGAAAUCGCUCCACCGGAGGGCAAAAGUGCUCUUGCCCAAGUUCCGCCUUGAGACAGUGGCACUUCAUCCCGAAAGUCCUCUCCUUAUUUUUUCUAGGUUAAAAUGGCUUAUAUACCAGAAGAAGGGCACCGGAGGUGGGCCGAGGAGGGCAUAACCCACCAGGGCGUGCCUGGGCUCCCUGGCGUGCCCAGGUGGGUUGUGCCCACCUCGUGGGCCCCCUCUGGUAGUUAUUUGCUCCAAUAUUCUUCAUAUAUUGCAAAACAAUUAUCCGUAAAUUUUCAGCUCAUUUGGAGAUGUGGAGAAUAGGUAACUCUAACAUAGCUUUUUCAGGUCCAGAAUUCCAGCUGCCGAUAUUCUUCCUCUUUGUGUAAACCUUGCAUAUUAUGACAGAAAAGGCAUUAGAAUUACUCCUAAAAGCAUUAGUAUGCAUAAAAACAUUAUAAGUAACAAUAGGAAAACAUGAUGCAAACUGGACGUAUCACAUGUAUCACGCCCAAUAUGCGAUCCUAUCCAAGAGGAACUCGAAGGUCCCACCAAGGAUAGAGCCGCAUAUUGAAGACACUUUUGCAAGGUGGAUAUCAUUACAUCAUACCAUUACAUAAUAGCGGGGGAUACAUACAAAGGCAUACAAAUGCCACACGAAUACAUCAAACAUCAUACAUGAGAACAACAUCCGACUACGGAUGAAACACAAACAGAAACUCAAACGACAUCCACCCUGCUAGCCCAGGCUGCCGACCCGGAACCUAUCCCCUGGUCGAAGAAGAAGCAAAAGAAGAACUCCAAAACAAGCAAACAUCACUCUCACGUCAAAUCAUCGCAUUACCUAUACCUGCAAUUAUUGUUGUAAUAAUUUGUGAGCCACGAGGACUCAGCAAUCCCAUUACCAUGGGUAUCAAGACUAGUAAAGCUUAAUGGGUAUGGAAAGGAUAAGUGGUGAGGUUGCAGCAGCAUUAAGCAUUGUAUGGUGGCUAACUUAUGAGUACAAGAGUAAGAUGAGAAACUACGCAAACAGUCACAAACUAGUAAUGAUCAAGAAGUGAUCCUGAACUACUUACGUUCAAACAUAACCCCACCAUGUUCUCUUCUCGACUCACUCAAAAAGACAUGGUCAUGGUUACGCAUGCGGUUGGUGUAUUUUAUUUUCGGUCCGAUGUCAAGUUCUCUACAACCGGUUAUUCAAAACUGACAUCUACCACAUAACCGCAGGCAAGACUUUCGAAAGAUUAAACCCUGCAGGGGUGUCCCAACUUAGCCCAUGACAAGCUCACGAUCCACGAAGACAAUCCUCCAUCGCGGGACAACCCGUUCAAACUCGGGAUCCCGGUGCACAAGACAUUUCGACAAUAGUAAAACAAGUCCAGCAAGACCUCCCGAUGUGCCGACACCCUGAUAGUAGCCGCGCAUAUCUCGUCUCAGGCCACGACGGAUGAGCGACGCAUACAGGUGCCAAAAUACCCCAAGUUGCCAAGGCGCGACCCCGCAUAGUGCUCUAGUUUGGACCAGCACCAACAGCACUCGCCCCCCUGUAUUAUGUGGAAUUAAGAAUCCUCGGGUUCAUGACGCCCUAUGCAAAUUAAUUAUUAAGUUCAAUAUAUUAUGUUGGCAAAUGUUAAAACCAAUGUUGUGCCUUGUUUGAAGAGUUUUAUUCAAAGCGAACUAUCAAGGGGGGCCCAUAAACCAUGACUGUGUUAGGAACACAGAUCAAGGAACAUAACACCGGUAUGACAGAAACUAGGGUGGCAAGAGUGGAACAAAACACCAGGCAAAAGGCCGAGCCUUCCACCCUUUACCAAGUAUAUAGAUGCAUUAAUUAAACAAGAGAUAUUGUGAUAUCCCAAGAUAUCCAUGUCCCAACAUGGAACAAACUGCACCUGCACCUGCAACUAGCAAUGCUAUAAGAGGGGCUGAGCAAAGCGAUAACAUAGCCACACAACAGUUUGCUAGGAAGGUGGAAAAGGUUAGAGGCUUAUCAUGGCAUAUUGGGAAGAUUGAUAAACAAGUGGUAGGCAGCGCGACAUAGUGAUAGCAUCGAGACAACUAGCAAAGAAAUGAUAGUAGUGAGAUCCAAGGUAACGGUCAUCUUGCCUGAAAUCCCGCUAGGAAGAAGAUCGAAUCUGUGAAGACGACGAACGGGCGUAGUCGAACGAAUUCUCACAAUCGCAACGUAACCGGAACUAUUGAGAAGAAGCACAACCGGAAACAAGCAAACAACAUAGUAAACAACCAAGCAUAAACAUGGCAUUAUGCACAACCAAGUAUGAUGUAUGAAAAGUAUACAUGAUGCUACUCAUGGAAAGAGAGGAUGCAUACAAGAACCCCACAUCAAAGCAAGUUUAAAUGGGGCCGGAGUAAACAUACAACAAUUUCGGAACUCCCCAUAUGAAAAUUUCGAAAUUGGUCCAGAUCUGAAUAAAACAUUAUGUUGAAGUGGUUAAGCAGCAAGUUAAAGUGCACCAUGAUGAUCUACACGAUUUUCUAAUCAAGUUACAUAUAAAGUUCAUUUAAUUCGGAGCUACGGCCUAGAAGAUGUGAGCAAAACAAGUUAAACAUGGCAUUGGUGCAAAAUACAUACAAACAUCGUGCACACAUAUUCAAAUCAAGGAUACAACAUGCCAUGAUGAAAAUAUAUGCAAAACCAAGCAAGUUUCAUAUAGGACAUGAUUAAAACGGAGCAACGGUUCAACACAUACACAUGAAACAAGUUUAAAGGACAAGCUGUCCAAAACAGCGACUAGGCAUAUAGCAAGCAUCAAAACAACGUGCUACAAGAACAAGAUUGACACAACCAUGAAAUGAACUUGAAGAACAGUAACAUGCUUAAAAUGACAUCAAGGUUCAGGUUCAUAGGCAUCAAGAUUAAACCAACAUGAUCAAUGCGACAAGCCACUUUAUAACAUAGAUUAGGACUUCGUGAAAAACAUGGCAUACAUGUGAGCAGAAAUAACAUGUUGAUAUGUUGGAGGCAUGAAACAAUGAUGCUACAUUGCACGAUCAUAGCAACCAAAAGCAUGGCAUUAAAUUAAGGUUAAACAUGGAAAAACAUGAUUACUAAGCAUCUCCAUAUAACCCUUAGAUCAAUGGCAUUCAUCAAGACAAGAUUGCAAGUUAUAACGGAUUCUCAGACUUGGUGAAAAACUGAGUAUGGCAGAAAACAUAUUCAUGAUGCAUACUUUGAGACAACAAAAGUAUACGCUACAGGAACAUUUCAUGGCAUUAAAGGGCAUGGUAAGCAUGUACUAAACACGCUUAACAAAACAUCAUUACUGAGCAUGAUCAUUGGAGCAACAGAUUUGACGAUAGCUUCAAGUGAACAUGGCAAGAUGAUAUACCAGGCUUAGUGAAAACUGGGCAUGCUGGCAGUUAUAUUUUCAAGCAACUUGAGGGCACCAAAAGAACAAGCUACAGCAUGUUAUAAUUGAAAAAAGGGAAUGUAUGGAUAGAGCAUAGCAUGGAAAUCAAAACAUGAUCAAUGAACAUUUCCAGAUUAUGCAUAGAUUUAAUGGUAGCAUCAAGUAAGCAUGGCAUCACAAUAUAAUAGUUUUAGACUUAGCAGAACGGUAACAACAAGUACCCUCCUUUGCAAGCUUGUGCUAGUCACCACAUGGCAUAUAAUGAAAUGUCAGUUAUACCAAUGCAAAUAUGACAUGAUUAUUCUCCUAAACUAUGUUGACAUGCUGCUCAAAAGAAAACCACAUAAGAUGCUAUGAAAAAGACAAAAUGACAUGUUACAGCAGCUUUCAGUAGAUUAUAACACUUAGCACUUUUGCAACAAAGAUAAUGGCAUCAAUAUGAAUAAUAACAUGCAUGCAAAGUACACCAUCAUGUAGAGCAGCAAGAGAUGAACAUUUUGACAUAUUAUAAACUCCAAUCGGAGCAACAACAUGCACAAAGUUAGGGUCCACACAACAUGCACACAUGAUGCAGAAAAUCACAAACUUAGCCAAUUUUUACCUCGCAAGAAAGUGGACGGAGAUGUUCCAGGGACGAGCGGAUCCAGGUGAGGCGGAGCAUUUGGUUCGACGAACUGGUGGAUCUGGUCCAAUCCCGGGUGGAUCCGGGUCGGAGGAGCUCCGGUGACGACGAGGCGGCGAGGCGCAUGGCGAUGGGCGGCGGAGAGGGGCGCGGCAUGGGGAGGCGAGCAGCGCGGUGCAGCGGCAGUUGGGUGGCGGAGGAGGAGCAGAGGCAGGCGGCGGCGUGCGUGGGACCUGCGCAGCGCGGCGGUGCGGUGGCGGGGCGGCGCAUGAUGAGGUGGCGAGAUUCCGGCGAGGCGGCGAGGUGCGGGCUCCCUCGGGCCCGGCGCGGGCCCGAUCUGGGCUCCCGCGGGCCCUGGCGGCUGGAGGUGGAAGGAGAUAGGAGAUGUCACAGAUUUCGAGGCAAACUAGGGUUUCCUCAUAUUUCGAGGGAGGGGACUGAUUUAUAGAUAGAGGGGGCUAGAAGAGGGCUAUGGAGGUGUCGUUUUCGCCCACACGAUCGUGAUCCGACGGCGAUGAGCACGGAGGGGAGUUGGUUGGGCUAUUGGGCUGUUGUGGAGAGGUGUUAGGCUGCAAAGAGAAGGAGGGCUUUGGUCCGGUUCGUCUCGGAGUACAGAAAUGUCCGGCGGUUAAUGCGGUUAACCGUUGGGGCAUCGAACGACCUCAAAAUGGAACAAAAUUUGACAGGCGGUCGACCGGUGAUAUACCAAGACCGCUCAUCAACUCUCGGCCCAUUCCGAGAAUGUUUUUCUCCCGCUCAUAAAACAAGAUUUCGGAGGUGCGGCGGGUGCGUGUGUGAGUGCCGGAUUCCAAAACGGACAACGGAGAAAAUGUCGAACAUAACCGGAUGCAAGAGUUGAACACGAAUGCAAAUGCAAUGCACUUGAUGACAGGGAAAAGUGCAACACGCAAGCAAAUGACAUGGCAAUGAUGGUGAAUAACUGGAAGACAUCUGGUGCAUCGGUCUCGGGGCGUUACAACAGGCCCGCUGAAAUCUGGGUGGCGCGCCAGGAAUGGUCUGCUCUAGGAGCUGCGGUCGGCACUCUGGAGUGAGCAUAGCGUAGGUGGUUAUCUGCUAACGUGACAGUGUGCCGAACGACGAGCUAUGAGCGGAUGAAUGGGUGGCGGCGCAAAUGGGGAGCGGGAGGGAAUCGAGAUGCGGCUAGGGUCGAGGGUCGCCACCCGGCUUAAAUAGCUAGAUUUAGACCUUCAGGCAGUGCCCCCGAGCGGCUACCUCGGCAGACCGCUGGAUAAAGAGGGGUAUCCGCGUGGGACCCACUAGUAAGUCCUACGUGACAGGCGCGUCCGAGCGUCCCCAUAUGACCAUAUCUGCCCCACAUUUGAGUUGGAUAUGGGGAGUAUUGGAUAGCACGAGCGUUUGUGUCGGUUGUGUGGGUGGCAGUUGGGUGCUAUUUUUUGGUCUGGGCAGUGACCGACAGCCCGCCCGAACAUUUGGGACGGAUUUGAGGGCUCCAGUUAUAAAUGCUUUGAGGAGGGAUUGGAUCAUUUGCCCCUCGUUAUUUUAGCAUUAGAUGAUUUGCCCCCGGUUUAAUUGGCUUAGAUGAUUUGCCCCAUAUUAUUUCUUUACCAUUUUGCCCUAUUUCUUGGUUUAAUACAUUCUCACUUUUUUGGAGCAAAAACACAGAAGAAAUGACUUGAAUUCUACUAUCCCGUUCAUGUUCCCAAUUCGCAUUUUCAUUUGUGUGUCAUCGAAAGCAGCAACUCAUAUAGGUACACAAGAUAGUCCGCUAAAAGUGUGAUGUGGUUCGGUGAUAAGUCUCUAAGGUAUCUUUAAUUUUUAAUUGUUUCAUACUAUUAUAUUAUCAAUUUGUAUGUGUUAUAUGUCAUUUUAUAUUAUUUUCAUUGGCCCAGUAUAUGUUGGAUAUCAGUCUAGGAAUGGAGUAAUAGUAGUAGACGUCAGUAAGUUUAACGAUGUACUUGUCAUGGUUGUAAUGCCUAUGUAUCGAUUAUGCCUUGGAUGAUCAUCAUAACUAUGCGCAAUUUUGUUAAUAGCCCAAUAGCAAUUUAUUUACCCAGCGAUGCUAUGCUUAUGAGAGAUGACUCUAGUGAAACUAUGGCCCUCGGGUCCAUUCUCAAUUAUUAUCAAGCAAUCCUACAAAUACCUUGCAAUAUUAUUUAUUUCCUUAUUUAUCUAUGAUACGUCUCCAACGUAUCUAUAAUUUUUGAUUGUUCCAUGCUAUUAUAUUAUCAACCUUGGAUGUUUUAUAUGCAUUUAUAUGCUAUUUUAUAUGAUUUUUGGGACUAACCUAUUAACCCAGAGCCCAGUGCCAGUUUCUGUUUUUUCUUUGUUUUAGAGUAUCGCAGAAAAGGAAAAUCAAACGGAGUCCAAUUGACCUGAAACUUCAUUGAACUUAUUUUUGGAAGGAAAGCAACCCGGGAGACUUGGAGUCCACGUCAAGGAAGCUUCGAGGAAGCCACGAGGUAGGGGGCGCGCCCACCCCCCCUAGGCGCGCCCUCCACCCUCGUGGGCCCCUCGUGGCUCCCCUGACGUACUUCUUCCACCUAUAUAUCUUAGUAUACCCUAAAACAAUCGGGGAUCAAAAUAGAUCGGGAGUUCCACCGCCAGAAGCCUCCGUAGCCACCGAAAGCCAAUCUAGACCCGUUCCGGCACCCUACCGGAGGGGGAAUCCCUCUCCGGUGGCUAUCUUCAUCAUCCCGGUGCUCUCCAUGACAAGGAGGGAGUAUUUCUCCCUCGGGGCUGAGGGUAUGUACUAGUAGCUAUGUGUUUGAUCUCUCUCUCUCUCUCUCUCUCUCUCUCUCUCUCUCUGUGUGUUCUUGAUUUGGCACGAUCUUGAUGUAUCGCGAGUUUUGCUAUUAUAGUUGGAUCUUAUGUUUCUCCUCCCCCUCUACUCUCUUGUAAUGGAUUGAGUUUCCCCUUUGAAGUUAUCUUAUCGGAUUGAAUCUUUAAAGAUUUGAGAACACUUGAUGUAUGUCUUGUCGUGCGUAUCUGUGGUGACAAUGGGAUAUCAUGUGAUUCACUUGAUGUAUGUUUUGGUGAUCAACUUGCGGGUUCCGCCCAUGAACUUAUGCAUAGGGGUUGGCACACGUUUUCAUCGUGAUUUUCCGGUAGAAACUUUGGAGCACUCUUUGAGGUUCUAUGUGUUGGUUGAAUAGAUGAAUCUGAGAUUGUGUGAUGCAUAUCGUAUAAUCAUACCCACGGAUACUUGAGGUGACAUUGGAGUAUCUAGGUGACAUUAGGGUUUUGAUUGAUUUGUGUCUUAAGGUGUUAUUCUAGUACGAACUCUAGGGCUGUUUGUGACACUUAUAGGAAUAGCCCAACGGAUUGAUUGGAAAGAAUAACUUUGAGGUGGUUUCGUACCCUACCAUAAUAUCUUCGUUUGUUCUCCGCUAUUAGUGACUUUGGAGUGACUCUUUGUUGCAUGUUGAGGGAUAGUUAUGUGAUCCACUUAUGUUGUUAUUGUUGAGAGGACUUGCACUAGUGAAAGUAUGAACCCUAGGCCUUGUUUCCACACAUUGCAAUACCGUUUGUGCUCACUUUUAUCAUUAGUUACCUUGCUGUUUUUAUAAUUUCAGAUUACAAAAACAUAUAUCUGCUAUCCACAUAUCACUUGUAUCACCAUCUCUUCGCGGAACUAGUGCACAUAUACAAUUUACCAUUGUAUUGGGUGUGUUGGGGACACAAGAGACUCUUUGUUAUUUGGUUGCAGGGUUGCUUGAGAGAGACCAUCUUCAUCCUACGCCUCCUACGGAUUGAUAAACCUUAGGUCAUCUACUUGAGGGAAAUUUGCUAUUGUCCUACAAACCUCUGCACUUGGAGGCCCAACAAUGUCUACAAGAAGAAGGUUGUGUAGUAGACAUCAAUCUACCUCUACCAGAUUUUGUACUUGCAAUUGGCAAGAACAAGGGGAGGUACGCCCCCUUGCCUGUGUCGGGUGCAAGCAUUUGCUUUGUGUGUGUAUGUGUGUCUGCAGAUACUGCUUACAUUGUCUAUGUGUCAUCUCCUUCUGGUUCGAUAACCUUGGUUCUUAACCGAGGGGGAUACUAUAUGCUACUAUACUACAUCACCCUUCCUCUUCGAGGAAAUUCAACAACUAUCACAAGUAGCAGAAGAAUUUAUGGUGUCGUUGCCAGGGAAGCUUCACCAAACAAAUUAGUGCCUUCGCACAAGAUUGAAGACAAAAGAGGGGAUGCCUUCCGGGGCAUCCCCAACUUCCGGGACAAAAGUGCUUCUGCCCAAGUUCCGCCUCAAGAUGGCAGCGUUCCAUUCCGUCCCGAAAGUCCUCUCUUUCUUUUUUUCUAGGGCAAAUGGGUUAAUAUACCAGAAGAUGGGCAUCGGAGGUUGGCCAGGGGCCCACAAGCCACCAGGGUGUGCCCUGGUGCCUCAUGGGCACCUGGGUGGCCCCCUCUACUAUUUCUUUCUUCCAGUAUUUUGUAUUUAUUCUAAAAUAAUUCUCCGUGAAAUUACAGGUCAUUUGGAGAUGUGCAGAAUAGGUAUCCAUGACAUAGCUUUUUCAGUUCAGAAUUCCAACUGCCGGCAAUCUCCCUCUUCAUGUAAAUCUUGCAAAUUAGGAGGGAAAAGACAUUAGAAUGACACUACAAAGUCUUAUAUUGGCCAAAAACAAUAUAAAUAAUAGUAGGAAAUCGUGAUGCAAAAUGGACAUAUCACAAACGAUUUUAGGCGACGUUUCCUGUUUCCUCACCAGGGUUUUUGUCACCAAAUAGACCAAAGUUUGUAGUGUUUUUGCUAAGGCAGAGGAGAAUGCUAAUAUGCCCGGAGUAAAAGUCAUCAGAGAUGCCUCGACGAUUUCUAAUCUUGUCUUUGCUGAUGAUUCUUUAAUCCUUAUGGGAGCUAAUGCCAUGAACGCGGAGGCGCUGAAAGUAGCCUUGGAUGCCUAUUGUGUCGCCUUGGAACAAAUGGUGAGCAUGGAGAAUCAAGCAUCUUCUUUAGUCCCAAUACGAAAGUGGAAGACAAGGCGCAAAUAUGUACAAUCCCGAAUAUUAUUCCCUCCAUCCCUUAAUAUAAGAGCGUUUUUGACACUAGUGUAGUGUCAAAAACGCUCUUAUUCAUCCCAUAAUUGUCAGGACCCCGACUCAAUGCCACAUCGAUCUAGCAUGUAACACCUCAUAUCACUUUGCGGCCUCACGCACGGUAUUCCCACGGGUGUCGCCUUACCUUUUCCCGGGACCGUUUGCACCUUUUGGCACACGUAUAUGAUAGUGUCGCUAGCAUCCAUAUGAUAAGGAGCCCGGGCUGACAUGGCUAGUCGUAAACCCAAAGUGGCACAAACUUACAGGGACAGGCAUCCAUGACCCAGCAUUGAACGUGUCGGUCAUCAGCGAGUGAAUCCAGGCUGUAGCACUAGGCUAGCAGGACUCCGGUGAACCGGGCUGUAGCAGGCUAACAGGACUCCGGUAUUCAUCGCGUGACAUUUCCCCGAAGGGACAGACACAGGAACGAAGAAGGACACAUGCCGGCCAGCCUAAGUGUUCCGGAGCAGUAGCAAGCUACCAUGUCUCGGUGAAACACUAGGAGACAUUUCGCCGUAAGAGAGGCUACUAAAGAUAAACAACUAGAUGGUCAGAUCCCACACAUACCAAGCAUUUCAAUAGCAUACACACAAUAUGCUUGAUAUGUGCAAAUACAACAUGGCAUCACAACAUGACUCUACGACUCAAGUAAUUUAUUCAAUAGGCUCCGAGGAGCGAGAUAUUACAAACAGGGGUCUCAUGACCCAACAUUCAGAGCAUACAAAUCAAAGCACAAACGGAAGCUAUCAUGUCUGAGUACAGACGUCUAUAAAUGAAAAAGGCUGAAAGCCUGACUAUCUACCAGAUCCUGCCGAGGCACAAGAUCGUAGCUGAGGUAACAAGCUAAACGUCGAAGUCCACGUGGAACUACUAGUGAGACUGAAGUCUCUCUGCAAAACAUAAAAUAGGCAAACGUGAGUACAAAUGUACCCAGCAAGACUUACAUCAGAACUAACUACAUAUGCAUCAUUAUCAACAAAGGGAUGGUGGGGUUUAACUGCAGCAAGCCAGCUUUGACUCGGUGGCUAUCCUAAACUACGACUGCAAGCGACUCUUUUGAGGUGGCGCACACAAGUCCACAUAUUCACCAUAUCAAUACACCACUAUGGAAUCGCUCCCGUCUCCCUACGAGAACGCCAUCCAUAGCACUCACGCUUAUCUUGCGUAUUUUAGAGUAUCCACUUUCACUUGUCUAUGAACUGAUAUAAGCAACCCAGAAGUCCUUUUCCGCGGACACGGCUAUUCGAAUAUAUGAUGAUAACCCUGCAGGGGUGUACUUCUUCAUACAUGUUUCCACCACUUAGCGUCUGCACACGACAUGUGCUCGGCAGACUUCAAGCGAAAGCCGACGUGGGUGUAGACCACGACCUACCUAAACACUCAAGUCUCUAGUCCAAGUUUAUCGCCUAUUCGGGUUCCAUCCAUGAGGAGAUCCGGCCGGAGUUUCGCUCACAGCCCCAAACGAUGUGAACAGGGUUCCGUGACACCAAACGGGCGCCCGGUUUACCCGGCCACGUGCCUACCGCAUCACAGCCCACCCCUACGGUCAGCGCUGUCCACGGCCUCCAGCAUACUACAAACACCAGAAACAACUUGCAACUCCUAGACAGAGGACAAGGGUGAAUAAGAAGUCGAGCGGGGUCAUAUUUCAGGGCCCAAUGUAUGGUAGUAGCUGAAUCAUGGAUCACAAACACAGAACUCAGUUCCUGAGGACGGCUACAAUGAGACAACCCACCAUGUACUCCUACAUGGCCUCUCACCGCUACCUUUACCAAAUCGUGUUCACACACUUAGCUCACACACAAUAGGACAUGUUCACACGCCUCUGAUUCAUCCCCGAUGAAUCAGACCUGACUCAACUCUAAGCAGUAGCAGGCAUGACAAACAAACAUGAAUGAGUAGGCACAACAGGGCUCAAACAACUCCUACUCAUGCUAGUGGGUUUCAUCUAUUUGCUGUGGCAAUGACAGGUCAUGCAAAGGAUAAAGGGGUUCAGCUACCGCAGCAAGUAACAGAUGGAUCGAUGUUGUCCUAAUGUAGUAAAAGAGAGCAGGAGCGAGAGAGUAGGAUUGUAUCGGAAUGAACAAGGGGGUUUUGCUUGCCUGGCACUUCUGAAGAUAACAUUGAGUCUUCAUCAGUGUCAACGAUCACAUCAUCGGUAUCACGUCUGUCGAGAGGGGACAAAUACCGGCAACAUAGAAGGGAACACAAUCAAUGCAAUGCACAAUAUGAUGCAUGAUCAUGACAUGGCAAAAUGAAUGUGUUUUGGGCUAAUGCAUCUAGCAACAAGUUAAAUGGGGUUGGUUUGAAUACAAAAUUCAAAUUCGAACUCCAUAUGUGAUUAUUUAAAUGCCAUUUAAUUGAUUUGUGAUAAACAGUAGUGAUAAGUUGUUCUAACAUGCAUGAAAAUGGUACAGAUGGAUUCCUUGAAUUUUUCUGAUAAUUUUUCAUAUAUAAAUUAUUUAAUUUGAAGUUACGGUUGAUUUUCUAUGAAUUUUAGAAGUUUAUACAAUUUUCUGGAUUUUCUGAUUUAUUUUAAAUCCAGAAAAUCAUUUAAUGCGUCAACAUGACAUCACCUUGACGUCAUCAGGUCAACGGGGCAGAUUCAGGUCAAACCUGACCAGUGGGGUCCACUGGUCAGUGACUGGGGCUGAUUGGUGCCGCUGACGGGUGGGCCCAGUCAACGGCCACGUCAGCACGGUCAAAACUGACGCGUGGGGCCACUGCAAUUAGACUAAACUAAACAGAAAAAAUACUAAUCCUAAUUAGGCGUAGGGGCCCACAUGGCAGUGGCUCAUAGGUGAUUAGCCCCUAACUAAGUGGCCACAUCGGCCCGCCGGAGUUUGGCCGGCGGUGACCACAGAGCACGGCGGGGGCACGCCGGACUUGCGCUAGGGGCAUCCGAUUCGCGCGCUGAGGGCACCGGGGCAUAGCCCGGGCUCUCCCGCAUCUGAUGGGGUAGGUGGGAGGCUGCGGGGACGCCGGGGCUCGUCGGAACGGAGCUCGCGGCGGCGCCGGAGUUCGGGUGGUAACGGGCGCGAGGCCUUGGUGGGGUUUUGGACAAGCUGUGCUGCGCAUGGGCUUCCUGUGAGCCCCACGAGCUCAAAGCCGUGCUCGGACGCGACCGAAACAAGCCAUGGCCGCGGCGGCAACAUGGCCGGCGGCAGCGAGCUUCGGCGGAGGUGGGGAACGGGGCUAGAGCAAGAACGCGAGCAGGAGAGGAGGGGGAAUCGAUCCAUGAGCUCAUUGUGGUUGCAGAGCGCGUCUCAGCGGGCUCGGGGGCGGCCGGAGUGCAGCGAAUCGACGGCGACGAUCUCCGGUGGCCGAGGAGGGGAACGGCGACGUGGGCGGCGAUGCAGGGCUCCCGGCGUUGCGUAGCUCCAUGGAGAGGUCGGGGGCGUCGAGGCGGAGCCUCUGGUCCGGUCAGAGAAGCGAGGGGAGGGUGGUGGCUGCAGCUACGGCGAACGGUGUCGGCGGCUGCGCUCUGCUUCGGGAGAGGGGGCGAGGGAGGCGAGGCAGGGAGAGAGGGAAGAGGUGCACGGGAGAGUGAGGGGGGGUCAGGGGGGUCGGGACGGCCUGCGGAAGUCGUCCACGCGGCCAGGAGCUCGUCGGCAAGCAGGAGGUGGCCGCGCGGCCGUGCGCGUGCGAGCACGCAGCAGCUUCGGGGCGAGGGGAGGAAGACGACGGAGGGCUGCAGCGGUGGGCUGGGCCGGCUUCUGCUGGGCUGCACAGUAGCGGGCCGCGUGGGUGGGUUGGCCUCUCUGGUGGGCUUCACAAGUGAGGCCAGGUAAGUUACAGGUACUCCCUCCUGCUCUGUUUCUAUUUUAAUUAUUGUUUUCUAUUUGUUUCAAUCUGUUUUGAUUUAGUUCAAACACUAAAUAAUUUUUGUUUCUUCUAACAAUUUUUGCAGGGACUGAAAGGAAUAAUCUAGAGCCCCUCACAAAAUAACAGAAUUAUUGAAGCAUUAUAUAUAUUUAUAGCAUAUAUUUGCUCCAACUCAAAUACAAUAUGUAUUAGUUCAAAGAUCCAAAAUGACAUGGAAAAAUGUGCAUCAUCUCUGGUUACUGUUUCCAGCAUUUUCCAAAAAUGAUGAACAUUUUUGAAAGCCACUUGGAUUGACUGAAAAUAUUUUAGGUGAACCUGGUGAAUUCCUUUAAUGCUAGGGUUUGGAAAAUCCCCAUUUCAACUUUCUGUAAAAGUAAACAUGAUGCAUCACCAAAGACUAGUACUAGUGCAUUGCCAGAAGCUAGGGAUGUGACAAUAAUAUAAGAGCGUUUCUGACACUAGUGUAGUAUCAAAAACGCUCUUAUAUUAUGGGACGGAGAGUAUGACUGAAGCCCUCAAUGAAAAAUAUUUGGGUUUGCCAGCUAACAUGGGUAUGGACAAAAGUAAAUGUUUUCAUUUCCUAAUUGAUCGAAUUAUUAUGAAAAUUAGUGGAUGAAAAGAAAAAUUAUUGUCUGUUGGAGGAAAGAAAACUCACCUCAAAUCUGUUGUACAAGCUAUUCGAACCUAUGCCAUGUCGGUCUUUAAAAUUCCUAAGAAAAUUUGUAGAGGAGCCACUAACGCGGUGUCGCAAUUUUGAUGGGGUGACGAAGACAACCAGAAGAGAGUGCAUUGGAUGGUGUGGUAAAAAAUGUGUUUGCCGAAAGAUCAGGGAUGUAUGCGUUUCAGAGAUAUAUAUAUUGUUUCAAUAUCACUUUGCUAGCUAAACAAGUGUGGCAUCUUCUUGACAACCCUAAUUUUUUAUGUGCAUCUAUCUUGAGAGCUAAAUAUUUCCCUCAUGGAGACCUGAUGAAUGCAAGCUUAAAAAGGGGUUCCUCUUUUAUUUGGCAAAGCAUUAUGGCAGAAAUAAUUCACUAGAAAAAUGGGUAUAUCUGGAGGGUGGGAAAUGGACAAAAUAUCGAUAUUUGGAAAGAUGCUUGGAAUCUAAAUUGUGCAAAUAGGAAAUCAUUACCCUGAGGGGAGAGAACCUCUUGUCAAAGAUUUCUGAUCUUAUUGACCCAACAACGAAUUUGUGGGAUAAAGACCUGGUGAGACAACGAUGUGACCAAUUGAUGUGCAAUUAGUCCUCACAACCCCUUUUUCGAUGCAUAACGUGUCGAAUUUUAUUGCGUGGAGCUAUACAAAAAAUGGGUUGUUCACUGUUCGACCAGCUUAUUUGGUAGAAUGGAACCUCCAAUACGUGGCAAAAUUGUAAUAUACUAAUGGGAUGGGGCGAAUUAAUGUCAAUACCAUUUGGGGUAAGAUUUGGAAAUUAUCGUGUACGACGAAGGUUAAAAAAUUUGUUUGGUGUAUGUUGCAUGGAACUCUCUCGUGUCGUGUUACACUUGUAAAUAGACACAUGAAAGUUCUACCCUUUUGCCCAUACUAUUCAAAUGGGCCAGAAGGUACAAAGCAUUUGUUGUUUCUAUGCCAGAAAGUAAAGGAGGUUUGGAAUAAACUAGGAAUGUACGAGGUGAUUAACAGAGCCUGCACUAUUGAACGUGCGAGAGAGGCAAUACUCGAAUUUCUGCUUCUUUUGCCAGACCAGGAUCUUUUUAUAAUGGGACUUCACAAUGCUCGUGAAGUGAUUGCCAUCACCGCUUGUAUGGUGGGAUAGAUGGAAAUUAGUUCACAAAGGAAAGUCUCAAGAUGCAUACUAGAGGUCUAUGAGGGUUCGUGCUAUAACGACAAACUUUGUUAAUGCCCACACCCCUAAUGUUUCCAGGAAAAAGGUGGUGGAUUAGACCCCGACGGGUUUUGUUAAGAUUAACGUGGAUGCGUCAUUUAAUCAUGAUCUUCUUAGGGGCACAGUUGGAGUUGUUCUUAGAGAUGAAAAAGGAAAUUUCAUUGUUGGCAGAUACUGAAAGAUUGAUUAGUGUGUGGAUGUUCUGACAGAUGAAGUUUUGGCCCUUAGAUUGGGCUCAUCUCAUUCUCUUGCACAAAAAGAGGGAUGUAACCGGCUUUUUAUUAACUCGGACAAAUAUGGAAGUAAUUGAUACAAUGAAGAAUGAAGGACGGUCUACGGGAGCGACGGCAGUAGGUUUUGAUGAUUGCUAUUUUCUGACAGAGUUAUUUACCUAAAACCACCACACUUGAGGCUACGGUAACUACUUGAUACCACAUUUGAGUUGUGAUGCCCCCGAUUCAAUCGUACACUAAUCAUACAUGCAAACGUGUACGAUCGAGAUCAGGGACUCAUGGGAAGAUAUCACAACACAACUCUACAAAUAAAAUAAGUCAUACAAGCAUCAUAUUACAAGCCAGGGGCCUCGAGGGCUCGAAUACAAGAGCUCAAUCAUAGACGAGUCAGCGGAAGCAACAAUAUCUGAGUACAGACAUAAGUUAAACAAAUUUGCCUUAAGAAGGCUAGCACAAACUGGGAUACAUAUCGCAAGAGGCGCAGGCCUCCUGCUUGGGAUCCUCCUAACUACUCCUGGUCGUCGUCAGCGGGCAGCACGUAGUAGUAGGCACCUCUGGUGUAGUAGGAGUCGUCGUCGACGGUGGCGUCUGGAUCCUGGGCUCCAACAUCUGGUUGCGACAACCAGGUAGAAGGGAUAGAAGGAAAAGAAGGAGAAGCAACCGUGAGUACUCAUCCAAAGUACUCGCAAGCAAGGAGCUACACUACAUAUGCAUGGGUAUAUGUGUAAAGGCCAUAUCGGUGGACUAAACUACAGAAUGCCAGAAUAAGAGGGGGAUAGCUAAUCCUGUCGAAGACUAUGCUUCUGGCAGCCUCCGUCUUGCAGCAUGUAGAAGAGAGUAGACUGAAGUCCUCCAAGUAGCAUCGCAUAGCAUAACCCUAACCGAUGAUCCUCCCCUCGUCGCCCAGUGAGAGAGCGACCACCGGUUGUAUCUGGCACUUGGAAGGGUGUGUUUUAUUAAGUAUCCAGUUCUAGUUGUCAUAAGGUCAAGGUACAACUCCAGUCGUCCUAUUACCGAAGAUCACGGCUAUUCGAAUAGAUUAACUUCCCUGCAGGGGUGCACCACAUAACCCAACACGCUCGAUCCCAUUUGACCGGACACACUUUCCUGGGUCAUGCCCGGCCUCGUAAGAUCAACACGUCGCAGCCCUACCUAGGCACAACAGAGAGGUCAGCACGCCGGUCUAAAUCCUAUGGCGCAGGGGUCUGGGCCCAUCGCCCUUUGCACACCUGCAUGUUGCGAACGCGGCCGGAAGCAGAACUAGCCCCCUUAAUACAAAAGCAGGCUUACGGUCCAAUCCGGCGCGCGCCACACAGUCGCUGACGUCACGAAGGCUUCGGCUGAUACCACGACGUCGAGUGCCCAUAACUGUCCCCGCGUAGAUGGUUAGUGUGUAUAGGCCAGUGGCCAGACUCUGAUCAAAUACCAAGAUCUCGUUAAGCGUGUUAUUUUGAAAUAACCGCGAACGCCGACCAGGGCCAGGCCCACCUCUCUCCUAGGUGGUCUCAACCUGCCCUGUCGCUUCGCCACAAAGAUCCACACAGAGGGCCGUUGGGACAAAGGUCCUUUCAGCCCCCAAUCCGUGAAUCACUCGCGGGUGCUCCACAAGCCGACCCAUCUUUAGUCACCACAUGUAUCAUGUAUAAAGUAUAUAGUAUAUACCCGUGAUCACCUCCCGAGUGAUCACGGCCCGUUAAUAUAGCAUAGCAGACGGACAAGAAUGUAUGGCCGCUGAUGAUAAACUAGCAUCCUAUACUAAGCAUUAGGAUUGCAGGUAAAGGUAACAACGGUAGUAGCAAGGACAGGCUAUGCAUCAGAAUAGGAUUAACGGAAAGCAGUAACAUGCUACACUACUCUAAUGCAAGCAGUAGAGAGAAGAGUAGGCGAUAUCUGGUGAUCAAAGGGGGGGCUUGCCUGGUUGCUCUGGCAAGAGAGAGGGGUCGUCAACACCGUAGUCGUACUGGGUAGCAGCGGCGUCGGUCUCAGUGUCUAGCGAGAGAAGAGGGGGAAGAAACAAUAAAUAUAUCGCAAACAAAUGCAUGACAUGACAAGGCGUGAUGCUAGGUGUGCCACUAACGUGGUACGAGAUGGUACCGGUGAAGGGGGAAACAUCCGGGAAAGUAUUCCCGGUGUUUCGCGUUUUCGGACAGAUGAACCAGAGGGGGAAAGUUGCGUGUUUGCUAUGCUAGGGAUGCGUGGCGGACGAACGGGCUGCGAAUCCGGAUUCGUCUCGUCGUUCUGAGCAACUUUCAUGUACAAAGUUUAUCCAUCCGAGCUACGGAUUAUUUAAUAUUAAUUUUCAAAGUUUUAUUUCAUUUUUAGAAUUAACAAAAUUAAGUUAAUUAGGAAAUUCCAUUAUGACGUCAGCAUGACAUCAGGGGGAUGUCAGCAGUCAAUAGUUAGUUGACUUGGUCAAACUGAAGCAUGGGUCCCGGUUGUCAUUUUCUAAGACUAACUAAUCAGGUUUAGUUAGUCUAACUAAAUUGAUUAGGUUUAUUAAAUACAAUUAAUUAGGUUAACUAAUUUAAUUAAUUAAUUAAAUUAUUAAUUAAUUCUUUUUAAUAUUUUUUUAUCUUCUUUUUUUCUAAAAGGUUCCAGGGGCGGGCCCCAUGUGUCAUAGGCACAGGGGCCAUAGUGGAUUCAGGCAGUGGUUAACGGGGCGGGCGCUGGUUGCGGGCGCUCGUGCCCGAGGGAGCGCGGCGGUGCAAGGCCAAUGGAGCACGGCGGUGCAAGGCCAACGGGGCACGGCGGCAGAUCGAGGCCGCGGCACAGCAGCGGCUGAGGCGGGACGGCGCGGCAGUAGCGUCCAGAGGGAGCGGCGGGUACCCGCAGCAAGCUGCGUUGGGCGGCGCGGGGCCGACGAGCUAGGCGAGUAGCGGGGGUGCGCAGGUGCGGGACAGCGAGGUCCGGCUGGCAAGCAGGGCAGCGGGGUAAGCGAUGGGCGCAUCGAGCGCCACAAGGGCGAGCAGCAAAGCGCACGGGAGACAGAGGGCGCACACGGAGUCCGAGCAUGGCGGAGGUCGAUUUGCAGCAGCACACAAGGGGGGAGAGAGGAGAGGAGCAGAGCUCACAUUGGAGCGUGUAGGGGAGCUAGAGGGACCCCUGCCGGCGAGGUCCGGUGGCCGGAUGGGCCGGUCAUGCUCGAGGGCGAUGCAGAGGUGCAGGUUGAGGGAGGCCUUCGCGCGGAGGAAGAGUCACAGGGGCGGAGCUGAUGAGGGAAGGCGCUAGAGGCAGGGAGCCGCGAGGAGGAGGCGAGGGGUGGCGGUGCUCGGCGCCGCUGGGUGGCACCCUCUGAGAAGCGGCGGCUUGGGUGUCGGGCGCCCGCUCCACUGAGCGAGCGUGCGUGCGUGUGGCGGCGCGGGUGAGGGGACGAGGGGAACGGUGGGGGAUCGAGAGAGAGAGUGUGGAUUGGGUUAGGGUUAGGUGGGUGAGGCCAUAUAGGCUAUGGGGUGGCCGGCUGGGUAGUUUGCCUGGGCCGCUUGGCCAUCUGGGCCAAGGCCCAGCAGGGAGGGGGGCUUCUUUUCAUUUGAUUUUUUUGUUUUGUUUAUUUACCUUUUGUCUUAUUUUAAUUUAGUUUUAUAAAACUUAAACCUAGUCCCUAAAUUAACGAUUUAGUUUACUCUACUGCUACAAAGUGUUUGGUACACAUUCAAAAUAGUUUACAUCUUUACAAUUCUUAAAAGGGCAUUUAAUUUAAUUGUUUCACCGAUGUUUUAUUUAUUUUAGAGCAUCUUAGCAUUUUCCUAAACAUGUGUUUUCUUCACUAUAAUUACCUAUGUAAUAUUUGGCACCAUCCAAACAUUUUUGUUUUAAUGUUUCAAAAACCUUGUUGUUUGCCAUAUUUUGAAUUUGAAUUAGAAUUUGUUUUGUACUAACGCUAGAUUAGCAACAGUAAUUGAGGUGACGUGGCAUCAUUAGCAGAGGUUCACUGUAGCUUAAUUACCCGGGUGUCACAAUUCUCCUCCACUAUAAGAAAUCUCAUCCCGAGAUUUAAGAGGGGAGUAAGGGAAAUAUGUGGCUACGAAAUUCUAUCGAGUCUUCUCGGUCUUGGUUGCUCUUCUCGGAGAGGUCGAUCCAUUACAUCGAUGCCUUCAUUCCUCUGCUUCAGGUCAUCAUGAGGGAGUCAUCAUCCUUUUCUUCGGGAACUCCAACGUACUUACGAAUAGGUAAGGGGCAGCUCGGCUACGACAGCAUGCUUACGAGGGAAACAAUCUGGGGUUAACCAUGAAUGAGCAUAAGAUUAUCUCUCGAGUUGAACAUAUAAAAUACAUCGAGAGUACGAUAUGAAGGUACAAUGAAAGGGUCCAAGUGGAUAGAUAGCUGCUCAAAGUCUGAACCAGAGUGAGAAAGGGGUUCAGGGCGGCGAGAGUAAGCAUUGCGUCUGAUACUAUAAUAGAGCAGUAGGAAGGUGGCUCGUGAAUUACCUACGAAGCCAAGCAUAAGGGAUAACUUUGAAGCAGGGAUAUACAGGAGAGUCAAGUUUCGAUCCUGUGGAACUAUGGGUUAUGGGCCCACCAUGUGGGUUAAAAGUAGGAAGGGCAGUGACGUCUUGCACGAUCAUGUAAGCAAGGCAUGUCAGAGGAUAGCAUGUUAGUUAUAUCGGCAACAACUUCGGUACCAAGGGCAAGGGACGAAGAGAACCAUUUUCCCGCUCGUUGAACGAGGCGGACCAAUAGGCAAAGUUCUCGUCCAUCGGUGGUUACCGGGAUGCUAUCAACAAUGGUAACAGGGUCUUACUGACAGAGUUGUACAACGAGGUGCUUACUAAGCAGGGAAUUAUCACUGCUUAGUUAAGUCAGCUUACAAGAAAGCUUAACAAGACAAUGGAAAGGAAAAUGCGAUUAGCAGGUUUAAACAGAAGAAUGGAAAGGAAAAUGUGUUUUAAACACAUAAUUCAGGGAUAUAUCCUUCCCAAGGACAAGCAGAGCAUGAUAUCCGUGGCAGGAUAUCAUGUAGAAAACCCCUUAGGUAAGGGGAGAGAAAUUUCAUGACAUUACCCAUAAAACGGUGUUUGGAUAAUUGAGCAAGAAACAUUUAGCAUUGGCUUCAAAUGUUCUUGUUGAUAAUUGGAGUAAAAUAUAUAUGCUUCGAGAUAGCAUUGACAUGGACUUCAGGCAAAGGUCAGACUUUGGAAACACAAAGGAUCCAUCAGGAAUAACUUGUAGAAUAAGUCUUACAAUUUCCUCAUGGAAGAAUGGAUAACCUUGCUGAAAAGGAAUCUAUAACCAAUAGGGCCUCCGGCUGGGUGUGCUAAGCAUGGCAUCCUGGAUAUAAAAUAUGGUAAUACCCCAAGGUAAAGAAGAACAAAUGUUGGAUAGCAAGAAACUCACGGUAUAACACAAAACAGGAACAAGUCUUAUGUUGGAGGGAAUGCAAUAAUGUUGUCGAUGAUAACCCAAAUCAUCGAGAGCAAAGGAAGCUAUUUCUCACCAAGAAUCUGAUAGAUAUCUUGGAAGAGCUCAGGAUGUUGUUGAUGACCACGACACAUUUGUCGAGAGAUUUUAUGAAGAUGUAAUCGGUCGGCGAUGACAUCAAGUCAACGGAAUGAUGAAGCGAGAAGCUAUUGGGACCAUAGGUACGACACAAACUUGUAAUCAAUCUUGUCAUUCAAGGACAAUUGUUAUGACAAGGAAGAUUGACUUAAGAUUAGCUCACCUCGAAAUUUUUGCUCUAGAAAGAAGGACCAGAUAGCAAAGUUAAAAUUGGCAUGACAAGGAUAUAGCCAAGCAGGCUAGGAAUGACAUGAUCGAGUUCAAACUCGUAAGUCACGAAGGUUACCAAGAUUUGCUUAAUCGCGGUGCGGACUUCAGUCAGUUAUCGGUGCCUUUGAGUGUUUAAUAACUCAGAGCCUGUGAAAAAUUGGAAUCAGUGAGAAUGUAGCACUUGAUGAAGAACUCAUAAGAAGUAGGCAAUUCCAUGAUAAUCUCGAGAUACCAGGGGGUAAUACUCGAUGAUAGAUCAUAUUAGAGGUUGGACUAGGGUAAUGCUCUGCAGAAGACAAGUGCUCAAAUUUGCACGAGAAAUGGAAUCAAGGAGAAACAUGGUCGGAACCAUGUCCACAGAUACAAGAUGAACUUAUAACAAGGGGAUAAUUAAUCUUAAAAGAAGCUUCCAUGAUAAGGUAUACAUCAUUUCCAUGGGCAUGAACACAGGGUUCAAGGUCGACUCCCACUUCUCCAAUGCAUAACCUUUCAUUCACUUCUCAUUUUCGAAGAAGUUGCACUGUUGAAAUUUUAUCUGGCGAAGCACCAGAAGAGUAUGACUCGUGAAAACUUUUGGGUUCACACGGUUUUAGAGAAGGUAUAGGUUCAACCCAUCGGGGCAUCUUAGAAACAUAUACCACGAACUUCAGUAGCAAAUAACACAAGCUCAAAAGUAGAGCAUGGUUGACAAAGCAGAGGAUACAAUUUACCAAAGGCAUUAUAUAUCCGAGGAGAGGCUCACAAGGUUAUUGAAUAAGAAGGACACUAUCGAAUAAUAAUCCAAUAAAGGAUCUGAUGGUCCAUAGCGGAGCUGAUGUGAGCAUCGGCACACAAUCAGUUGAAGAUAGGAUGCAAGGGACUCAGAUUAUAGAACACCUGAAUGAUUCGAUGCUUAGAUAUCAGAGGAAUUAUGACUUACAAAUAGAAGGAUAAGAACUAGACGCCCUGAUCAAGGGUAGAUAAGUUCAAUAGACCUAAGGGUACAAUUAACGGCAAACAGAUUGGUCGAGAACAAGCUCAUGUUCAAAAAUGAUGUCUGAGCUAGAAAGAAAUUUGAAAGGAUCAACUGAUGAUUGCGUGCAUUCGCACACAUGCUGAAUCAAUAUGGUCAGAAUGUUCAUCACAAGGAUCUUAACGAAUAUUGCUUGACAUAUGGAAUUAACCAUUAUGCAAGCAGGUAAAGAAGAUCAAGAGCAAUAGGCUACUGAGGAUUUCGGAAGAUCGAAUGGCAUUUCAAAGAAUUUUGCGAAACACCUGAACAACUGGGGUUGAACGAAUCCCCGGUAAAUGUGAGGAAUUAUUCAUACAUGUAUUCAUGAGGAAAAGGAGCCGCAAGACAGUAAACACAAAGGAUCCUCGGAAUAUCCGAAGUAUUUCAGGGUAUCUUGUAAUAACAACAACAAUUGGAAAUGAAGUUAUGGACGACAAGUGUAUGUAGCUUUCCAUAGGGAUUUAUCAGUGGUAUGGAAGUGCAACGACGAAGGGCACAAGGGUCUUGGGGAAACAUCAGAGAGUAUCUUCAAAAUAUUCUGGUGCAGCCAGCGAUCAUCUGGACUGAAGGGGCUCUCCGGGAGAAAGUAUUUACGAGAACCUAAUGUUAGAGUUUGCAAAAUCAUUUAACCCGAAUAGAAGAGAGAUCAGUAUCCCGGAGUAAGGAUCGAGGAGUAAAAGAUCCUAAUACCACCCAGAUGGCGACGUGGGCCCGUAAGGCACACAGCCAUGUUAGUAAAAAGUUUUUUUUAAUGUCUAGACUCGACUUCGGCCAAGGAGCGUGGAAGGGGGAUUCCUACAGGCAGUCGGCUCUGAUACCAACGAGUGAUGCCCCCGAUUCAAUCAUACACUAAUCAUACAUGUAAACGUGUACGAUCGAGAUCAGGGACUCAUGGGAAGAUAUCACAACACAACUCUACAAAUAAAAUAAGUCAUACAAGCAUCAUAUUACAAGCCAGGGGCCUCGAGGGCUCGAAUACAAGAGCUCGAUCAUAGACGAGUCAGCGGAAGCAACAAUAUCUGAGUACAGACAUAAGUUAAACAAAUUUGCCUUAAGAAGGCUUGCACAAACUGGGAUACAGAUCGGAAGAGGCGCAGGCCUCCUGCCUGGGAUCCUCCUAACUACUCCUGGUCGUCGUCAGCGGGCAGCACGUAGUAGUAGGCACCUCCGGUGUAGUAGGAGUCGUCGUCGACGGUGGCGUCUGGAUCCUGUGCUCCAACAUCUGGUUGCGACAACCAGGUAGAAGGGAUAGAAGGAAAAGAAGGAGAAGCAACCAUGAGUACUCAUCCAAAGUACUCGCAAGCAAGGAGCUACACUACAUAUGCAUGGGUAUAUGUGUAAAGGUCAUAUCGGUGGACUGAACUGCAGAAUGCCAGAAUAAGAGGGGGAUAGCUAAUCCUGUCGAAGACUACGCUUCUGGCAGCCUCCGUCUUGCAGCAUGUAGAAGAGAGUAGACUGAAGUCCUCCAAGUAGCAUCGCAUAGCAUAACCCUAACAGAUGAUCCUCCCCUCGUCGCCUUGUGAGAGAGCGACCACCGGUUGUAUCUGGCACUUGGAAGGGUGUGUUUUAUUAAGUAUCCAGUUCUAGUUGUUAUAAGGUCAAGGUACAACUCCAAGUCGUCCUGUUACCAAAGAACACGGCUAUUCGAAUAGAUUAACUUCCCUGCAGGGGUGCACCACAUAACCCAACAUGCUCGAUCCCAUUUGGCCGGACACACUUUCCUGGGUCAUGCCCGGCCUCGUAAGAUCAACACGUCGCAGCCCUACCUAGGCACAACAGAGAGGUCAGCACACCGAUCUAAAUCCUAUGGCGCAGGGGUCUGGGCCCAUCGCCCUUUGCACACCUGCAUGUUGCGAACGCGGCCGGAAGCAGAACUAGCCCCCUUAAAACAAGAGCAGGCUUACGGUCCAAUCCGGCGCGCGCCACUCAGUCGCUGACGUCACGAAGGCUUCGGCUGAUACCACGACGUCGAGUGCCCAUAACUGUCCCCGCGUAGAUGGUUAGUGCGUAUAGGCCAGUGGCCAGACUCAGAUCAAAUACCAAGAUCUCGUUAAGCGUGUUAUUUUGAAAUAACCGCAAACGCCGACCAGGGCCAGGCCCACCUCUCUCCUAGGUGGUCUCAACCUGCUCUGUCGCUUCGCCACAAAGAUCCACACAGAGGGCCGUUGGGACAAAGGUCCUUUCAGCCCCCAAUCCGUGAAUCACUCGCGGGUGCCCCACAAGCCGACCCGUCUUUAGUCACCACAUGUAUCAUGUAUAAAGUAUAUAGUAUAUACCCGUGAUCACGUCCCGAGUGAUCACGGCCCGAUAAUAUAGCAUAGCAGAUGGACAAGAAUGUAUGGCCACUGAUGAUAAACUAGCAUCCUAUACUAAGCAUUAGGAUUGCAGGUAAAGGUAACAACAGUAGUAGCAAGGACAAUCUAUGCAUCAGAAUAGGAUUAACGGAAAGCAGUAACAUGCUACACUACUCUAAUGCAAGCAGUAGAGAGAAGAGUAGGCGAUAUCUGGUGAUCAAAGGGGGGGCUUGCCUGGUUGCUCUGGAAAGAGAGAGGGGUCGUCAACACUGUAGUCGUACUGGGUAGCAGCGGCGUCGGUCUCGGUGUCUAGCGAGAGAAGAGGGGGAAGAAACAAUAAAUAUAUCGCAGACAAAUGCAUGACAUGACAAGGCGUGAUGCUAGGUGUGCCACUAACGCGGUACGAGGUGUUACCGGUGAAGGUGGAAACAUCUGGGAAAGUAUUCCCGGUGUUUCGCGUUUUCGGACAGAUGAACCGGAGGGGGAAAGUUGCGUGUUCGCUAUGCUAGGGAUGCGUGGCGGACGAACGGGCUGCGAAUCCGGAUUCGUCUCGUCGUUCUGAGCAACUUUCAUGUACAAAGUUUAUCCAUCCGAGCUACGGAUUAUUUAAUAUUAAUUUUCAAAGUUUUAAUUCAUUUUUAGAAUUAACAGAAUUAAGUUAAUUAGGAAAUGCCAUUAUGACGUCAGCAUGACAUCAGGGGAUGUCAGCAGUCAACAGUUAGUUGACUUGGUCAAACUGAAGCAUGGGUCCCGGUUGUCAUUUUCUAAGACUAACUAAUCAGGUUUAGUUAGUCUAACUAAAUUGAUUAGGUUUAUUAAAUACAAUUAAUUAGGUUAACUAAUUUAAUUAAUUAAUUAAAUUAUUAAUUAAUUCUUUUUUAUAUUUUUUUAUCUUCUUUUUUUCUAAAAGGUUCCAGGGGCGAGCCCCAUGUGUCAUAGGCACAGGGGCCAUAGUGGAUUCAGGCAGUGGUUAACGGGGCGGGCGCUGGUUGCGGGCGCUCGUGCCCGAGGGAGCGCGGCGGUGCAAGGCCAACGGGGCACGGCGGCAGAUCAAGGCCGCGGCGCAGCAGCGGCUGAGGCGGAACGGCGCGGCAGUAGCGGCCAGAGGGAGCGGCGGGCACCCACGGCAAGCUGCGUUGGGCGGCGCGGGGCCGACGAGCUAGGCGAGUAGCGGGGGUGCGCGGGUGCGGGACGGCGAGGUCCGGCUGGCAAGCAGGGCAGCGGGGCAAGCGAUGGGCGCAUCGAGCGCCACAGGGGCGAGCAGCAAAGCGCACGGGAGACAGAGGGCGCACACGGAGUCCGAGCGUGGCGGAGGUCGAUCUGCAGCAACACGCAAGGGGGGAGAGAGGAGAGGAGCAGAGCUCGCAUUGGAGCGUGUAGGGGAGCCAGAGGGACCCCUGCCGGCGAGGUCCGGCGGCCGGACGGGCCGGUCAUGCUCGAGGGCGAUGCAGAGGUGCAGGUUGAGGGAGGCCUUCGCGCGGAGGAAGAGUCGCAGGGGCGGAGCUGAUGAGGGGAGGCGCUGGAGGCAGGGAGCCGCGAGGAGGAGGCGAGGGGUGGCGGUGCUCGGCGCCGCUGGGUGGCACCCUCUGAGAAGCGGCGGCUUGGGUGUCGGGCGCCCGCUCCACUGAGCGAGCGUGCGUGCGUGUGGCGGCGCGGGUGAGGGGACGAGGGGAACGGUGGGGGAUCGGGAGAGAGAGAGAGUGGAUUGGGUUAGGGUUAGGUGGGUGAGGCCAUAUAGGCUAUGGGGUGGCCGGCUGGGUAGUUUGCCUGGGCCGCUUGGCCAUCUGGGCCAAGGCCCAGCGGGGAGGGGGGCUUCUUUUCAUUUGAUUUUUUUGUUUUGUUUAUUUACCUUUUGUCUUAUUUUAAUUUAGUUUUAUAAAACUUAAACCUAGUCCCUAAAUUAACGAUUUAGUUUACUCUACUGCUACAAAGUGUUUGGUACACAUUCAAAAUAGUUUACAUCUUUACAAUUCUUAAAAGGGCAUUUAAUUUAAUUGUUUCACCGAUGUUUUAUUUAUUUUAGAGCAUCUUAGCAUUUUCCUGAACAUGUGUUUUCUUCACUAUAAUUACCUAUGUAAUAUUUGGCACCAUCCGAACAUUUUUGUUUUAAUGUUUCAAAAACCUUGUUGUUUUCCAUAUUUUGAAUUUGAAUUAGAAUAGGUUUUGUACUAACGCUAGAUUAGCAACAGUAAUUGAGGUGACGUGGCAUCAUUAGCAGAGGUUCACUGUAGCUUAAUUACCCGGGUGUCACAUGAGUCAGGGCACAAAAAACCACCAAAAUUGCGCCUAAUCUGUAACGCGGAGCACUGAUGCUUGAAUUCGGUCACGAAGACAGCGAAUCUGACCGGUUGGGCCCACCUGAUCGGCUGAUGUGGCAUGCCUACCUGGAUAAUUUGUUGAGGUGGCCAAAGGCCCCACCUAUCAACCUCUGUCUUAUUCACCCCCUCUCUCUCCCCCCAAAGCCACCUUCUUCCCCACCCACCCCGACACAGCCGGCCAUAUCCAGCGCCGCCGCCAGAGCCUUACCCCGGCGAUCCUCCCCGUCGUCCAUGGCCUCCCGUCGGGUGCGACCAGGCCCCUCCUCGUGGACGAGCAAAGCACGGGGGUGGCCAUGGCCUCCCGUCGGGCGCGACCAGGACCUCCUGGCGGACAAGCAGAGCACGGGGGUGGCCAUGGACUCUGCGCGACCAGGCUCUCUUGGCGGACGAGCAGAGCACGGGGGUGGCCAUGCCCUCCCGUCGGGCGCGGCGACCACGGGGCAUGGCCACGGCGCUCCACGACGGCGCGCUCGGCCAAGGCCUCCAUGUGUGAGCCGCGAGCACGGGCGUGGCCAGAGCGCUCCAUGGCAGCGCACGCAGCCAGGGCCUCCCGGCGGGCACCGUGCGCACGGUCGCGACUAGGGCACUCCACCACGGCACCCCUCCCCCCUCUGUACGGUCGCGACCAGGGCCUCUGGAGGUCGCCGCGAGCAUGAGUUCCCGGCCGAAACUCGUUGGAUCUAGGCGCAGCAGAGGGCUGGGCGGCGCGACGAGGUCGAGUUCAUCCAUUGCGCGGGAAUGGCAGUUGCUCCUGAUUGAGAGAGAGGGAAAUCAGGGAGGAAGGAGGAGGAGAAAAACAAAGGGGCGGCAAGGGGAGCUCCAACAGCUUGACAUCGGCGGCCAGGUCUCAGAUGGCCGUCGACCAGCAAGGGCGGCGAGCCGCGCCGGCGGCGCCCAGUGUGCUGAUAAGCCCAUUACCUGUUUGUUGAAAUGCCCACAAGAAAAAAAAUUAAAAGAGACAAACAUAUGAGUCACUUACAGGUGGGUCCCUUGUCCAACUCAGCAUAUUGUCCACACAAGCAUGCCAUGUCAGCCUGGCAGGUGGGCCCAACUUGUCAGUUUCACUGUUUUCGCAUGCUUAUCAGACAAUCAGUGCUCCCCAUUAGUCAUUAGGCACAAAAUUAGUGGUUUUUUGUGCCCUGUCCGAAAAGUGAUACUAAGUUGUUACCCUAACCCCAAGUGUGGUGGUUUUGGAUAAAUAACUCUGUGUUUUUUCUCUUAGUAGUUUUGAAUAUUGUAAUAGAGAGGCAAACAUGGUCACUCAUGAACUUGCUAGGUUAGCAAAAUUUCAAUCAGUAGGGAUUUGUUUGAGGAGCUUAUGGAUGAAAUUUUACCUUUUAUUACAGACGGUGUAACCGUUAUUUCUAAUUAAUAAAGUCUUAUCUUUCAAAAAAAAUGUAAGUAGUCAUCAUGUUCAGUUGCAAGCUCAAGGCUGGAAGCAUCACAAGAUUAAAUAAAAUCCACACCUUCAGAUUUCUUUAGUUCCUAACACUAAUUGGUCCAUAAAAUCUCAUAGCCAAAGACCUAGCACCAAAAUAGGAAAUGUAGUUGUAUAAAGUUAUAUUAAAGUUGAUACGGUUAUUUUAGGGCAGAGGGAGUACAUAACUGAUCAUAGGGUUCUUAUCCUUUAUGCAACUUUUUCUUUAGAACACUCCACUACUAUUUCAGCACCAUAUCAAAUAUGCUGUCUCCCUUCUCUGCUGCUGCUGGUGAUACUUCGCCGGCUGCCUUUGUCCUUCUCUGCUGCUGGCACCUGUGGAAAAGGCGGAGCGUCGUCUUCAGAGAAGCUACCUCCUCCCUUGAUCUCACCUUUAAAGCCUGCCACGACGAUGCCAUGCUCUGACAAGGGAGGUUCAAGCCAUUGACGUCCCUUGCUCAAUGGCCGGGCGCACAUUGACGUCCCUUGCUCAAGGGCGGCCUCCUUGAGCCUCGCGUCUUCCCUCUUGGCCUAGGCCGUGUGUGUGGUAUGUAAAUUGAUACCAUCUUUGCCUCAAAACGGUUUCAUUAACACUUCAUACAGGGUAGAAAGAAUCUUAGAGGAAGCACUCGCUAAGAACCUCAACAAACGCUCAUGAAGCCGCGCCUUACAUUCCCUCAAUCCUCCUCCAUCUGCCGGAAUACAUACAUCACCAAAAAACCACUCAAAUUUGUUGCAGAACACAAACAAUAUCUUGCUGAGGCUCAUGGCACAUAGACAUAGAUACGCAAAUCAUAUUCGUUCACAAGUACUGAAAGGUAUCAAACAGCCUACUACUACUACCACAGCACAACGUUUCAGUCUCGGGACACAAAUGAAGUACACCACAUUUUUGAAAAAUAAAACGCAAACACUACGGAUAGUUCUUUUUGGCCAGAUGGUCAGACCUUAUUCCAGCAGUCGUAGGGAAAUGAAUUAUGGCAAACGAGUCUAUCCCGUCAGUAAUUCUCUUCUUCACUGACAAUCUCUGCCUCUUGGUCCACGGGAACUUGAAUGGCUGCUUUCGAGAAUUGUCAAGGCACUUCCUACAAGCCAGCCUAUGAUACAGGAACACCUCCUCCAGAUUCGCCGCUGCUUCCAUUACACGCCUAAUAUAGCUCACCAUGUACUUUUCAGAUUGGAAGCCAAAUAUGACGAGGAUUCUCAUGAUGGAAGUCAGAAGCAGAUGAUUCCCACUCUACACCCUUCUCCUCGCUAAACAAGCGUUCCUUCCUCUUCUCCUCAUCUGUUACCAUUUUACAAAGAUGGUCCCACACCUGCACGUCAUAGGACAGAGGUUAAACAGAAACAGGUUAUUAAUUUUGAAUACCCUUUGUAAUUCACAUAGAAGGCCUCUCAGAGCGGGCAGCAUAAAUGUGCAUGUUACUUUCAAUGUGAAGUUGUGUACAUUAAAUUUUCUUUCUUUUUUUGCGCUAUGAAACUACACAUCUCUCAUCAUUAAUUAUAGUGCCACGUUAUCUUUUUGCUUAGGUGGCACUACGUGACUACAAAUACGUCCAGGCCGGCGUGUCCGCGUACAAAACAUGAUACACCAAAAGGCUGAUAUGCCGCCGGGACACCAUCAACACGUCGUACAUGGGACAUGGAAGCACAGCCAGCACAGUAAAAGCCCGCCUCUAUUCGGUUGAUUGAACAAGCACAGGAAUGAAUGGCUGGCUGGCCGCUGGGCACUUGCUUGCUGGUUGAUGUAUGCUUGCUUGCUGAGGCGUUUCUGCGAGCUGCUGCAUGCUUGCUGGCUUGCUGCUGGGCACUGACUGCUGGCGCUGAGUGCUGGCUUGCUGCUUUGCUCUGCUGAUGUGAUCUUGCUGUUGUUGAGGCUAAGGAGCGACAUACCUAAAUGGCAUCUGCGGGCACGUAGCACAAGCAGGGGCGGAGAGAGGGGACGGG
rnacentral:lncRNA from 1 species